rnacentral:lncRNA from 1 species
AUUGCCACUGUAUAUUUACCAUUGACUUCGCCAUAGCAUUAAUCAUAUUUUAUUAUAAUAACUUGACCAAUUUUGUGCCUCAAUUCGAUCCUCAUGGAAAUGAUACUCACUCAUCACUUUAUUUGUAACACCCCAAACUCGGCCUAGACGUUAUGGCCGAAUCUGGUGAUGUCACAUGGAGAGGGAUUUGAAGACAAGAUUGUUGAGUUUAAAAACCGUUACAGUAAGUUAGCUUUUAUUUAGGGAAAAUCGUGUUUUGUAGAGUUGUAGUUUUUAGGAAAAAAAUCGUGUUUUGUAGAGUUGUAGUUUUUUUAAAAAACCCAAUAAAAAAUAGUAUAAAGUCCCAAAUUUAAAACCAAUCAGUCCAUAGUCCAGAAGAUACAUCAAAAACUCAAAAUAAGUAAUAAAUUCUAGGCAUUAACGGAAAACAAUCUAAAAUUUACGUGUGGCCACCAUUGAGUCCUCUGCUGCACCGAUUCGUCAAGUCUGAGGAUUACCUAUACAAAUUAAAUAGAGAAAGGGUGAGUUGUCGCAAACUUAGUGUGUAAUCCCCACAGAAAACAUGCAUAGAGAUAAUUAACAAAAUUUAGUUAGAUACAGUCUAGGGCCUGUGCCCAUCAUAGAAUCAGUUUGGGCCUUAGCCCAUUCAGAUAUAGUCUUAGAAAUACAUUAGGGCAUUGACCAGCCUCUACAAACCACCUCCAUCCAACCAUACACACCAUGUGGGGAUUAAAUCAACCAACCCAUCCCUACACACCAUGCUGUACCGAAAUGCGGCACAUAAUUAGAAGGUUGCAGCUGGGCUGCCAGAUAACAUAAGUCAUGCUCGGUAUAGAAAUCAGACAGACAGAUCACACAUAUAGGUGUCUAAGUAAAGCUUACUGACCCUACAGUAGGUCCACAGUUAACUUGGGCGACCCGUGCAAAAUUACAGAACUUUUUAGAAAAAUGGGCUUACACGCCUAUGUGGCCCACUCGGCCCAAAUUGGCCUUGACCACGUGAUCCAUUUUUAAUGUAACCAGUGCUAGUUAAUUAUUCAUAUAUGUUUUCACUAUUUACUUAUAUGUUAAUUUAAAGCUGUCUACUUGAGUCACUGUUACUAAAUUAUUUAUAUCUUGAGCUACAGAAUUUCAAAUUAAGAUCCGCUUAAUGUCUUUGAAACUAGACUCAAAUAUCUUUCUACUAUAAAAUUUUUAUAAUUUUUGGUUGAGCCAACAAGUACAGUAAAAUCUUCAAACCUUCCCCUAUUCUGCUGUCUGACAACUUCAACCCUUCUUUGCUAAGAAUUAAUUAUCUCUUAGUACAAGAUUUGGAUGAUGUUUACAUUUGUUUCUAUUGAAAAUAAACUCAUUAAUAAUUUAAAAAUGUAAAUUUUAAACCCCUAAUUAUUUUUCUCCAAUUUUUGAUGAUUUUCCAAAUUUAGAACAGGGGAACCUUAAUUCUUUCUGACCUUGUCUCACGAAGUUUAUUAUACCUCACAAUUUACAAUUCCAUUACUUACAUCGUUUAAGAUUUAAUUCCAUAUUUUUUUCAUCCUCUAAUUCAAUUUCCACAAUUUAUGGCAAUUUUUCAAAGUUAACCUACUGUUGUUGUCCAAACAGCAAGCAAUUUUGGCUUUUCGCCGAAUCCUUUUUUUUGCAUUUCGGGUACACACCUGGUUUUGUUUGAUGCUAAAACAAUCCCCGAACACUCUAAAGUCACCAAUGAUAACCAUCCAUUUAAAUAUUGUUAACACGAGAACACUGAAUUCACUAGUCCGAGUCUCCCCCUACGCCCAAAUCGCAGAGAAAAUACGUUACCACUUUAGUCGCUAAAAGAUUCAUGAUAGAAAAGAAGAGAAACACUUACCGAACUAAGCGAGCACUAACCGUGUGUGAAAAUGAAGGAAAAUAAAUGGAUUAGGGAAAAAUCAAGAACAAGAAAAAGAAGAAAAAGAAAAACUCAGAGAAUUUCAACAAGAGGAGAGGGAGAAGAAUAGACGGCGAAUAAAAUUCUGAUAACCCCCAAAAUCCCUUAAUCUUCUCCCCUAAUUCCCACUACACAUCCACUAUUCAUAACCCCCUAUUACAUAACUCUAUCCGAAAUCUGAUAAAAAAAAACAUAAUACCCUUGCCUGCAUAGGGGUUCAAACACAAAACCUCUACUAUAAUAACACAUCAUUUAACCACCAGACCAGCAGGCCCAUUCUGAUGUAAUUUACCCAAAAAUCAAAUAAAAGCCUACUCAACAAGAGUAAAGCCUAAUUCAUUCAAAAUACCAAAAUUUGCCCAAGCAAAAGCUUGAACUUGGGACCUCCCAAACACUCCCAGAACACAUAACUACUAAAGCUGACAAAUAUUUGUGUCAUAUUUUCACAAUAAUGAAAUUAGAAAUUUUGGGACAUUACAUUAUUACUUGAUUCAACUCUUGCACAAAUCGCAUAUCAUUUCACACACAACAGUGCUCAAUUGAACCCUUUAAGAUAUGAAAUCUAACAAACUCAAUUAAUGGCUUUAAUCAAUCCACCAAGAAAUAAUCAUUGGCAAAUUGAAGGAUGAAGAAUGAAUUCCCAUGACUCCUUAAAAAAAUUGAUAAGAAAACUACUUUUAAAAAUCACAAGAAACAAAUCUUGCAUAAAGAAACUAACUCUCAGAGUUGGUAAUUUUAGUAAUAAACAAAAACAAUUGCGUCUCUAAUGAACAUGAAGGGGCCUUUACAUAGGCUAGAUAAGUACAUCCAAAUAAAAUUGUCAAAUAUCUUGAAACUUUAAUUAAUGUAAGCAAGAAGUAAUUUUAAACUAAAAUAGUCAUAAUUUUCGUAAUAAUCCCGUCUAAAAAUUCUGCUCACAUAGUCAUCAUUAAAACAAUCAUAAUUUGAGCUCUUGAACUCAAAAUUGAGUGAAUAAAAGUGCGUUUCGAAGUUAAGUGAUAGAUCCUAGAACUCUAUGAAGACAUAUCAAUCAAAAAAAUAUCUGGAUCCCAUCCAAAAAGUCACCGCAAGUUAACUAAUUUUUCAAACUUAAAAUUUGGCAGCUUCGGUGAAUGGAAUUUAAUAAAGUUCACUCCAUCCAUUCAUGUAUCAACUUGCAUUGGUAACAAGUAAAAGAAAAAAAUCUAUAGAGAAAAUAGUUGAAGAAUUUAUGACAAUUUAUUCAAAUCUCUUUUUCUUCUAGUCUUUGCAAGCUUGAAGUUUCCCUUGGUGUGAGAGAGUUGUUCCUUACCCUCUAAGUGAUUUUUUUCUUUUUCUUUCUCUUCGAUCUCGUCACCUAUUGGUGUUCAAACAAUUGAUUCAGUUAAUACCCGAACAAAACUAUCAUUAACUGAAAUUUUGAAACCCUUAAUCGUUAAUCAAACCAAUUUUUUUAAAAAAAACCUAUUAACUAGCUGGAUUGAUUUCGAUUAAUUUUAGCGGUUAACCAGAAUUUAUACAUGGUUUUUUUUUGUUCAAAAAAUUUUAAAACAAAGAACAAUCCAUGACAAUUUUUUCCUUGUUUUUUAUUGAAAAAAUUAAAAGAACUAAAAAAAUAACAUAAUAACAACAAUAAAUUAAAAACAUAAUAGCAUUCAUUACAUUACAAGGCAUAUAUAUAUAUUUUUACUUUUUCUUCACUUUUUAGUUUAAUUUUAUAUUUUUUAAAAUAUUUUUAGUUUUCAUAUUUUUGUUAAGCUUAUUAUAAGAAAACUUAUAAAUCCAUUAAUUUUUCUAUAUUGGUUUUGUAUAAUGUAUUGGACUUAUCUCUAAUAUAUUUGGCCUAUAAUAUAUUUUUAUUGAUUUCGGUUAAUCAAUUAAUUCGGUUAAUUAGUCGAUUUCAAACUAAACUAAUUGGUAAACAAAAUCUUCAAAAACCUUUAACCAACUCCCAACCAAAUUAGAUUUGAUUGCUUAAUCAAAUUAAUUAGGUUUGAUAAAUUAAUUCGUUAAAACCAAAAAAUCCACACCCCUAUCAUCACCUUUAUUUUUAGGGAUUUUAAUCAUGUUGCUGCACCUGAUGCAGAAGUUGAGGUGGAACGAACUGCUUGCUACCACAAUUUAUGAAUUAUAGAGCAUGCUCCACCGUAGUGAAUCAAAUUCGGUGGAGUAGAAGACUUUUCUUCACUACUUUAUGCUCUAUGCUCCAAGUCUUCUAUUCUUCUUCUGAGACCUACAAUGGGAAAAUAAAAACUAAGAAACAAGUCUAAACUAACUUUGAAAAUUAGAAAUUUUCAACAAAAUUGAAAUAAAAUAUAAUUAAUCCAUAAAAAACUAUAAAAUGCAAUAAAAACAAACCUAAAUACUAAAAUUACCUCCUAAAAUGCUGUGGAAACUAUACUAAAAUAACUCUAAAUAUGAUAGUUAUCAGAAGCGACUUGAAUAAGCCAAUCGAGUAGAUGAUUUCAACUAUUGCAAAUAGCAUCAGUCGAUUAACCAUCCUCUUGAGAAGAUCAUAGAGUUGAAAGAAAAAAUCAUACAACUCCAUGAAGAAGAAAAAAUCAUGUUUGAAAAAGAAGUGGCAUUAUCAAACUUGACAUCAAUGCUUUGGUUUCUCAAUACAAUAUUAAGGAGAAAUUCAUCAAAUUUGGCUCUUUCACUCCUAUUACACUAGCUCUAAGUAGAAGUAAGAUGGUGAAUUUCGAAGGGAUUGGGGACAAUCAUCUAUUUUUGGAAUAUCAGAAUGGUCAUGAUUGGACUCAAAGAAGCCAAUGAAAUGCAUCUCUCCUAGGUAUAAGCUUAUAUUGUCACAUUGCUCCUAAGCACGAGCAUAAAUUGUUCAUCCAAAAUGAUGAUGCUCCUAAGCAUGAGCUUAAACUGUUCAUCUAAUGCUCCUAAGAAGGAGCCUAAACUAUUCAUAAAAAAUAAAUGAUGAUCCAGUGAAGCACGAGAUUAAACUAUUCAUACGAAAUAAAUGAUUACCUCCUAAGCAUGAAUUUAAAUUGUUCAUACAUAAUAAAUGAUGAUACUCCUAAGCAUGAGCUUAAAUAGCAGUCCAAAAAAAAUUGAACAACAUUAUAACUUUAUCUUUUAAAAAUGAAGGUACGUAGAUAGCCUGGUUUCAUUGCCAAGUUCAGUCAGUGAAACAAAUUCUUGAAAGUAGGAAGCAAAUAAAAUUUCAAGACUUGUACCCUUUCUACGCCCAACAAAAUUCAGAAUUCAGCAUUUGUUAUUACUGUUUAUCUCUAACUAAAUUAAUGAAAAGAUAAAUCAAGAAAUUAAAUCCUUUUAGAACUGUCUUAUAAAGAAACCAUAUUCUUUAAGGAUUACUUUAUCUAUAAUUAAUUAAAUUAAUAAGAUAUGAAUAAUAAUAAUAGAGUUUAAAUUCUUAUAGAACACUCAAAUGAAAAAGCUAAAUUCUACAACAACUCUCUUAUAUCAAAGUGAUUGGGCACUAUAAAAAUGGGUCACCUCCAAGUCAUUCUACACAUUCACAAGUUCAAGAAGUUCAAAAAUUCUUUACGAAAAUAUGAAGAAACUAAAGAAGUAGAAGAAAUUCUGAUGAACAUCAUAUCAGUUCUAAAGAAAAACUGCCUCCUAUCCAAUUCAAUUGAGAGGAGGAUGUCAACAGAAGAGAAGAAUCGAAGAAGUUUUGUUUGUAAAUAAAUUCAAAACUAUACACUCUUCGAAAUAAUAAAUAAAAUUUGACGCAAAAUUUUCAAGUCAAUUCUCAACUUAAAAUUUGCGUGUACAAUAUAUAUAGGAAAGAAUCCAUUUACAUUAUAUAAAACUAGUGUAUGUAUAAUACAGAAAUAUUUAGUACAUUAUCAAUAAAGUUUUUAAACUAUGCACUGUGAUUAAAACCAAAAUAAUAAUAAUAAUAACAACCAAUCACUUUAUUUGACUAACUUUUCCCUACAAGUCUUUAGUAUGGAGACAAAUCAGUUUAAUCAGCCUUUGGAGCUAUUAACUGACAUUUCCACCAUUGAUUUGAAAAUCCUAACCCAUCAAUUCACUUUAAAUGAAACGAGAUCCACUAGUGUUUGGUGUUAUAUUUUUAAAAUGUAUUUAGAUUAUUGUUUAUUAAUUUUAUUUGUUUAUAUUUAAAUCAAAUGUAAUAAAUUGUUGAAUUUAUAUACUUCAUAUUAUAACAAUAUAUUUUAACUUGCUACUUCUCUUUUUAAUUUAAUUUUUUGUAACUCUUCACAAUUUAUUUUGAAAAAAAUUGAAAAAACUAAAUGAUUAAAUUAAGGCUCAACUUUUCACUAACCUUAGUUUAUUUAGUCUAACUUUUCACAAAUUAAUAUACUCAUUUCAUGUUUCAUACCAACAACUUUUCUUUUUGGUAAAAAGAAAAAACAACUAUACGUUUUUUUUAAUCCCAAAAUUAAGGCUUUAUGAAUGAAAAUAAUAUUAUAUUAACUAUGAUAAUUAAGUCUUUAUUUUUAAUAUGAUUAAUAUUAUAUAUAAUAACUUUAAAUAUGCUUCCACUAAUCAGAUAUACUAAAGGAAAGAGUAACUUUCUUUUUAUGGUAACUAAUUUUCAAUUAUGUAUUUUAAUCUAUCACUAAAUAAUUAAUUAUAAUCAAGAUGUUAAUUUUCCAUAAAAUGUACAUAAUUUUGGUUGGUAUAUUAAUAAAUUUAGCCCUAAAAAUUUACACAUGCAAUUUGGUCUUAAUUUAACAAAAUUUUCCCGCAACAUUUGUGUAAAUAUGUAAAUGUUGAGGUUAAAUUUCUUGAAUUUUUUUUAAAAAAUUAAGGUCAAAAUGACAAAAAUAUAAAUAUUGAAAACUAAAUUUAUUACUGUACCAAUCAAAAUGACAAAAUAUAGCUAGGGACAUGGGCUUGACCGAGCCAACUCAACCUAUUUCAUCUGUUUCUAUUGACUUUUGCUCGACCCUACCCCAAAGACCUGUCAAUUUUGUUAAAAUUGAAAUAUUUAACUUGUUGGAGAAGACUAACUGUAGAAAAGUAAGUCAAUGCUAAAGUGAUAUGUCGACGUUUUGUUGUUUUCAAAAUAGUUGAUAAGCCUGAAAUUAUAAAAGAUAAUCAUGAGGUCUUAAAUGCAAUUAUGAUAUUUCUAAAAAGAUAUUUCUCAACAAUUUUUUUAAUUUCUUGAUUGAUGAAAACAAAUUUAGGUAUUUCCCAAUUUGUAAAAACAUGAUUUUUCUUUGAAUUUCUAGGUUUUUCUUAGCUUUUUUUUAUAUUAUUUUGGAAUUUUUGUAAUCUUCUUAUAAUUUCUUAAAAAAUAAUAUAUUUGUAAAAAUUUUUAAACCAUAAAUACCAAUUAAGAAGAAUGUGAUAAAAUUAGGGGUAAAUGUGUAUUUAAGCCAAAGAAAAUAAAAGAAUAAUAAUGAAAUUCACCUAAAAACAAUUACAAGGACUAGAUGAACAAUUUGACCUAAAACUUUGUUUGAAAUGAUGUCAUUAAUGUGUUACAUCAGCUUUCUUAGAGAGAUAAAAAUUAAAUGAAUAUGAGAUACAUGAAACUUGUAUCUCUUUCCAAUAAUUUAACAUUAUUUCAAUAUUUUCAUCUUGAAUUCACGAGUGAAGCGUACAUCAUAUACCAACUCAAUUGGAAAAAAGUCUUUAAAUUAUUUUUAAAUUGUAACAAAUAUUAUUAUUAAGAUGUUUUUCUUUUUAUAUUUUUUAUAAAAUAUAUUAAAAAACAAUUAAAAUAAUUUUAAGAGAAAAAAACUCAUACAAGGUAGAAUUUAAUCUAAAGAUGUCAAAGUUUUAAAGCCUCAACUUUAACAUUUCAACCGAAAUUCCAUUAGUAUAUAAAUAUUUAUAAAUAUAGAUUUUAUAUAAAAAAUUUUAUGUAAACUUUUUUUUAACCCGCAUCACAAGUACACCAUAUUUAGAGAUAUUCAUAGUUAGGCAGUCCACUUUGAGUCAAGCUUGAGCUUAGGUUUUCAAUCUCAAGUUGGCCCAAUUCAACUUAUUUUACUACUUAAAAAUAUAAAUAUAUGUUAUAUUGAUAUUUAUAUAUGUCUAUAGUUAAAAAAUUAUUAAAAAUAAAUUCAACUUAUUUAUUAAUUAAAAAUAUAAAUAUAUGUCUAUAAUUAAAUUUUAAAGAAAUUUAUUGUUAUUUUCUAAACAUAAAACAAAGAAAACUUUCACCCAAAUUAUAAGUUUGUGGUCAGGCAGCCCACUUUGGGACUGGAAUCAGCUUACUUUUUUAAUCUUGGGCUUUAAAAAUAAUAAAAAUAUAAAAAUAAUGUUCUAUUAAUAUUUAUAAAUUUUAUAAAUUUAAAUUUAAUUAUAUUUUUUAAACAGUAAAAUCAACCAUUUAUAUGGGCUAAAUUGAGUUAAGUUCGGUUUGCAUCAAGCCUUAACUUUGACCAAAUCCAACUAAAAACACCUCUAACCAUAAUCUAGUAUUGUUUUUAUGAAUUCAAUUUUAACUUGUAAUUUUCAAUUCUAUUACAAAAUUUCUUUGCCUACGAUAAGAAAAUAACAUAUUUGUAACUAAGUAAUUAAUUAAGUUAAUGUCACGAGUGAAUCAUACAUUAUAUGCCAACUCAAUUGGAAAAAGUUUUUAAAUUAUUUUUAAAUUGUAACAAAUAUUAUUAUUAAGAUGUUUUUCUUUUUAUAUUUUUUAUAAAAUAUAUUAAAAAACAAUUAGAAUAAUUUUAAGAGAAAAAAACUCAUACACGGUAGAAUUUAAUCUAAAGAUAUCAAAGUUUUAAAGCCUCAACUUUAACAUUUCAACUAAAAUUCCAUUAGUACAUAAAUAUUUUAUAAAUAUAGAUUUUAUAUUAAAAAAAUUAUGUAAACUUACAUAUAUGGUUCGUCAUGCAAAUGUUUAUUAUAUUUAAAAAUUAACAUAUAUGGUUAUUGAAUUUUAAUACUGGCUUGAGGAGUCGACUCUAUUGUAGAUUCUAGAUUAAUCUAAUAUUUCACCCUCUUUUAAUUUUCUUUAUUGGAAGAGUCUUUAAGAGAUAAGUUAAGUAGUAUAGCAGUUUCAUCUAAAACAACAUCUCUGCUAAUCACAACUUUUCUAUUUUUAGGACACCAUAACUUAUACCCUUUUACAUCAGCUUUAUAACCAAUAAAAACACAUUUAAUGAAUCUCGGUUCCAAUUUUUCAUUAUCAACAUGAGCUUACGAAGGACACCCAAAGAAUUUAAUCUAAAGAUAUCAAAGUUUUAAAGCCUCAACUUUAACAUUUCAACCGAAAUUCCAUUAGUAUAUAAAUAUUUUAUAAAUAUAGAUUUUAUAUAAAAAAAUUUUAUGUAAACUUUUUUUUAACCCGCAUCUCAAGUGUACCAUAUUUAAAGAUAUUCAUAGUUAGACGUCCACUUUGGGUCAAGCUUGAGCUUAUGUUUCCAAUCUCAAGUUGGCCCAAUUCAACUUCUUUUACUUUUUAAAAAUAUAAAUAUAUGUCUAUAAUUAAAUUUUAAAGAAAUUUAUUGUUAUUUUCUAAACAUAAAACAAAGAAAACUUUCAUCCAAAUUAUAAGUUUGUGGUUAGGCAGCCCACUUUGGGACAGGAUUCAGCUUACGUUUUUAAUCUUGGGCUUUAAAAAUAAUGUUCUAUUAAUAUUUACAAAUUUUAUAAAUUUAAAUUUAAUUAUAUUUUUUAAACAGUAAAAUCAACCAUUUAUAUGGGCUAAAUUGAGUUAAGUUCGGUUUGCAUCAAGCCUUAACUUUGACCAAAUCCAACUAAAAACACCUCUAACCAUAAUCUAGUAUUGUUUUUAUGAAUUGAAUUUUAACAUGUAAUUUUCAAUUUUAUUACAAAAUUUCUUUACCUACAAUAAGAAAAUAACAUAUUUGUAACUUCUCCAAUUCGACGUAAAUGUUCAGUCUGAAUUCAGAAGAUUACAUCAGCCAUAAAGAUGGCCUAGCAAGGUUAUUAGAGUUUUCAAAAACAGGCAUCUUUAAAAUGCUUGUUUAAUUUAUACAAAAACUUAUUUAAUUUCCAAAUUAUUUAUUACUUGAAAUCUUAAUUAUACUUUGAAAGCAAGAAGUGGUAACUAUUUAUUUUUAAUAAAAAUCAGGGUUCAUGUAUAAUUGAUUAAUAACUGUUAGAAUUAAGCGACCCGAAUCUUUAUUUAAAUGAAAUACAGUGGUAAAAUAAAAUAAAAUUAAAAUCCCUAUAGAACUACACUUAUUUUAUUUUAUUUUAGAAUAAGGAUUUUUAAACCUUAUUAAACUCCAUCCAUUUGAUAUUGAUUAGAAUAAGGUGUUUCAAUCUUACUACACUCCUAUUAGAAUAUGGUUUUACAAGCCUAUAAAUAGACAUAGUCUACUCCUCUUGUAAUUAUUCGAAUUCGACAUAGGGAUUUAUCUUCUCCUCUACCAAUAGCUUUUUCCCUGAAAGGGUUUCCACGUAAAAUCUGUGUGUUUUUUUUAUUUUUCUCCCUUUUAUUCUUUGCAAUACAUUGUCAUUACCAACAUUCUAUUUUUAGCAAAUUGGUAUCCAAGCUUCCAAUUUGUUCAUCUCAAUCAUGGUAAUGGCGUCUUUGAAGUAUGAAAUUCUGCUAUUGGAUCGCAACACCAGAUCCGCAUUGUGGCAGAUAAAGAUGCAGGCAGUUCUUACACAGAUAGACUUAGAGGAAGCCUUGCUAGGGGUAGAUAAAAUGUAUUCAACAUUAACAGAGGAAGAGAAGAAGCACAAGGAUCGAUAGGCGUUAACACAAUUACAUCUUCAUUUGUCCAACGAAAUUUCACAGUAUGGAGAAGACCGUCGCUGGAUUAUGGAAGAGGUUGGAACAAAUAUGUACGUCGAAUACUCUAACUAGCAAGUUGCAUAUGAAGCAGCUUCUUUAUGCUCAUCGUUUGGAGGAAGGUGUCUCUAUGCACGAACACUUAAUAGUGUUUAAAGGAAUUCUCUCGAACUUAGAGGUCAUGAAGGUUCAGUAUGAUAAUGAAGAUCUACGAUUGAUUCUACUUUGUUCGUUGCCUCUAUCUUAUUCAACCAUUAGAGAUGGGAUUUUAUAUAGCCGCGAGUCUCUCACAGUUGAUGAGGUUUAUGAUUCUUUAACCUCGUAUGAUAAGAUGAAGCAUCUUUUUCGUAAAACUGACUCUUAGGGAAUGGGUCUCAUUGUUCAUAGUAGAUAAGAUCAGAAUGCUGAUGAUGAUCGUGAAAGGACACAGGAAUAGAAUUCUCGCGAUAAAUCUAAGGAUAGAUCAAAGAUUUCAAGCAGAGGUAAAACUUGUAACUUCUGCAAGAAGAAAGGGCACAUUAAAUCUGACUGUUAUAAGCUACAAAUCAAUAUCAAAAGGGAGGUUGUGAAACAAAAUGGAAAACAACUAGAAUAUGUUGGUAAAGCUGAUGUUGUAGAAGACUAUAGCGAUGGUGAACUUCUAGUCACUUCUAUCAACAAUUCUAAAAUAAGCGAGGAGUGGAUCCUUGAUUUGGGCUGCACCUUUCACAUGAGUCCCAAUGGAUAUUGGUUUAUAACUUACGAAAUAGUGUUUGAAGGUGUUGUUUUGAUGGGAAAUAAUGCUUUAUGUAGAAUUGCAGGUGUUGGGACAAUAAAAGUUAAGAUGUUUGAUGGAGUUCUCAGAACACUUAAUGACGUACGACAUGUUCUAGAAUUGAAGAGAAAUUUAAUUUCAUUGAGUACUCUUAUUCAAAAGGUUAAAAAUACAUAGCUAAAAGUGGGGUUUUUAAUAUUUCCAAAGGUUCUCUCGUUGUGAUGAAAGGGCAGAGAAAGACUGCCAAGUUAUAUGUUUUGUAGGGUUUAGGAGUUCUUUGGCAUAUACGCCUAGGGCAUAUAAGUGAGAAUGACAUGGCAGAAUUGAGCAAAAGAGGACUUCUUGAUGGGCAAGGAAUUUGCAAACUGAAGUUCUGUGAUCACUGUAUUUUUGAGAAGUAAAAGAGAGUUCGAUUCAUCAGAGGAAUCUAUAACACGAAGGGAACAUUGGAGUAUAUUCAUUCUGAUCUGUCGGGGACACCCAGAGUGCAUUCAAGAGGUGGAGCUAAUUAUAUGCUAACUUUUAUUGAUGAUUUUUCUAGAAAAGUUUGGGCGUUCUUCCUAAAGCAGAAAAUCGAUGUGUUUUUCGCAUAUAAGUCUUGGAAAACUAUGAUUGAAAAACAUAUGGAAAAACAAAUAAAAUAUCUCCACAUAGAUAAUGGCUCAAAGUUCUGUUCUAAUCACUUUAAUAAACUGUGCAAGUCAGAAGGGAUCGUGAGACACUUGACAGUUUGCCACACUCCACAACAAAACGGUGUUGCAGAACGAAUGAACAGAAUGAUCGUGGAGAAGGUUUAAUGUAUGUUUUCAAAUGCCAACUUAACAAAGUUGUUUUGGGCCGAAGUAGCCUCUACUAUAUAUUUUUUGAUCAACCGAUCUCUAUCUAUUGCCAUUGAGAAAAAGACUCCACAAGAGGUAUGGUCUGGUAAUCCUGCUAACUGUUCUGAUUUAAAGAUCUUUGGGUGUCCUGUGAAUGCUCAUGUUGAUAAUGGAAAAUUGGAACUGAGAUCCAUUAAGUGUGUUUUUCUUGGUUAUAAAGCUGGUGCAAAAGGGUAUAAGUUAUGGUGCCCUAAAAAUAGAAAAGUUGUGAUUAGCAGAGAUGUUGUUUUUGAUGAAACUGCUAUGCUACCUAACUCAUCUCUUAAAUACUAUUCCAAUAAAGAAAAUAAAAAGCAGGUGGAGUAUCAGAGUAAUCCAAAAUCUACAACAGAGUCGACUCCUCAAGCCAAUACAAAAAUUCAAAAUAGAGUUGCUUCUUUACCACAAUACUCUAUCGUAAAAAAUAAAACUAGAAGAGAUAUUAAACCCUCAAAGAAAUAUGCCGAGGCUGAUCUAGUUGCUUAUGCUUUAAAUAUUGCUAAAGAUAUAGAUGCAAACCAAGAGCCAUCUAAUUAUUUUGAUCCGGUUAGCUAUAAAGACUCAGAAAAAUGGAUGUUUGCUAUGUAAGAGAAGAUGGAAUCACUCUACAAAAACAAAACAUGGGAUCUUGUAAAACUUCCUAAAGGUAAAAAGGUUGUUCGUUGUAAAUGGGUGUUUAAAAAGAAAAAGGGGACUCUGGGAGUUGAAGAACCCAGAUUUAAAGCAAGGCUUGUUGUAAAGGGUUACAGUCAAAUUCCAAGAGUGGACUUCACAGAUGUGUUCUCCCCAGUUGUGAAGCAUAGUUCGAUUUGAGCUUUGCUUGGUAUUGUGGCCAUGCAUGAUUUGGAGCUAACUGUAAAAACUACAUUUUUGCAUGAAGAACUUGAGGAUGAUACUUACACGCAACAACCAUAGGGUUUUAUAGUCUCAGAAAAAGAGGACUAUGUUUGCCUGUUGAAAAAGUCCUUUUACGGUUUGAAACAGUCACUAAGAAAGUGGUACAAGAGGUUUGUUUCCUUUAUGACUUCUUAUGAUUUUAAAAAAAGUAGCUUUGACAGUUGUGUUUACUUUAAGAAAAAUAGUGAUGAUUCUUUUGUGUAUCUACUUCUUUAUGUUGAUGACAUGUUGAUAGCAACAAAAGAUAAAUGAGAGAUAAGAAAGGUUAAAGCCCGACUAAGUGAAGAUUUUGAGAUGAAAGAUUUGGGACCAGUAAAGAAGAUACUUGAUAUAGAGAUUCUCAGAGAUAGAAAAGUAAGUAAAUUGUACCUAAGUCAGAAGGGGUACAUUGAGAAAGUUCUUUGCAAAUUCAAUAUGCAGAAUGCUAAGCCUGUUAGUACUCCUUUAGCAGCCUAUUUCAGACUUUCAUUGGCUUUGUCUCUACAAUCAAAUGAUGAGAUUGAGUACAUGUCAUAUUUUUCAUACUCUAGUACAAUGGGAUCUCUCAUGUAUGCUAUAUUUUGUUCACGUCCAAAUUUAUUAUAUGCAGUCAAUACAGUUAGUAGAUAUGUGGCAAAUCCUGGUAAAGAACAUUGGAAAAUACUGUUUCCAAAAAUUUAUGGAUUUCUGGUGAGUGAACUUCUAGUGAAAUUAUUGUGCUAAGUCCAUUGGGGCAGUCUGUUUGAGUAAGUACACUUUAUAGGAAUGUACCUUUGGAAGUACAAGGGAUUGUGUUUUCGGCAGAUCUGGUGAGGUUACUUCUAGUGAAAUUAUUGUACUAAGUCUGUUGGGGUAGUCUAUUCGAGUAAGUAGACUUUAUAGGAAUGUACCUUUGGAAGUACAAGGGAUUGUGUUUUCGGCGUUUUAUUCACAUAAAAGCAGCAAAAUUUAGCGACAUUGUCUACAGCGGCAUUUUUUACGGCGCUUGUGAAAGCGCCGCUAUAGGCCUAAAAAACACCGCUAAAAGCCUAUUUUGCUGCAGUGAAUUAAUAUUAUUAUAAGUAUAUUUUCACCUUUUCAUUCUUUUAUAUAAUCUUCAAGUAAAAUGAUUGAAAAAUAUUAUUUGAGAAUCAAACACAAGACUAACAAUAUUCAUAUAGAAAACGCUUAUCACUCCACUAAUAAUCAUUUGUUGAUGUAUUUUUGGUAAAAAGAGCCCUCCAAUCCCUCUUAAUUUCACAACUUCUCAAAUUAGUCCCUCUCAAAAAAAUUGGAGCAAUUUAAUCCCUAUCAAUUUUGAAAGUGAGUAACUAAGGACAAUUAAUUAUGGUGUUAAAUUCUUCAAUCAAUUGUACAUAAUUUUGAUUGGUAUAAUAAUAAAUUUAGCCUUUAAUGUUUAUGUAUUUUGUCAUUUUGGCCUUAAUUUUUUUAAAAAAAAUUCAAGAAAUUGAACCUCAACGUUUACAUAUUUGCACAAAUGUUGCAGGAAAAUUUUGUUAAAUUAAGACCAAAAUGCAAGUGUAAAUUUUGUUAAAUUAAGACCAUAUUUUCCCCCUUUAUUUUUUCAGUGCCGACCGGAAAAAAAAAUUUCAGUCUCAUCUAAAUAAGACAUACUUCAGCAGACCAAUAGACUGCAGAUCAGACCCAAUUCAAGGGUAAUGCAGUCCAAAGUUCCUUGAACUCCCUCCUCCAAAGUGAAAAACAAAUCUAUAUAUUUCUGCAUGAUUCAAACAGAAAGGACUGUUGGACAUGUAACUCAGAAAGAAUGCAAAUACAUUGAAAGUACCAUAGACUUUAUAAAUUAGUUUCAUGUUGUUAAAUUUCAACACUAUAAACCUAAAAAUUCCCAGAACGAAAUGCGGGAAUCAUGCCUUAAACUCCAAUACUCAAAUAAGAGACAGAUAAAUUGCACAUUUUUUAAUAUAAUAUUUACAGACUAGAGAUAAAAAUAUAGAAAAAUAUAAACAUGGACAUCGACAAAAAGACUAAUUGACUGUGCAUGUGUGCUAGAGAGUGGCAAUUAAACAUUAUCCAAACACAAUCAUUUCUCAACAUUUGUAAAACAAAAAGAAGAUUAAGAUUAGCAGUAAACUAAAUAAAACCAAAGAAGUGAGAACCACAAGUAAAUGAGAAAGAAAACAAAAUAGAGAUCCUAGUAGCUUUCCCAUUGAACUUCGUAUAAGAGAAAUAACAACAUUUGAACUUUAAGCAAAUAAAAAUGUAAAAUAUUCAGAAUCAAAACAAUCUUUUAUCAAAAUUCAAGCCAAAAACAAUGAGCUUCACUCUAUACAAGAAGCAUGUUAAAGUCAUAGGCUUUCUCGUUUCUGGAAACCAAAUCCAGAAACGUCUCCCACCAAAAAUCAAGAAAAUAACUUCUGUUUUUGAAAAUCACAUUCAAAUCGUGAAAUAGGAGCAAGGUCCUUCAAAUUCAAGCAAAGUUGGUAGUAAAAGCUUAACUUUCAAAGGUCAAACAACACAGCAUUAAGUAUAAAACUAACCCAAUCUCCACCAAUUCAAAAACAAGAAACCAAACACGAACCCGAAGAUCCAAACACGAUUUCGAAAAAAAAAAAUAGAUAUUCCUGAAAAUCGGAUAAAAAACUAGCAUAUACUUAAUGAAAAGAGAAAUUGACGAAAAAUCACAAGAGAUCUGCAUGCAAAUAUAGGCACACUUUUGCUUGAUUAUUCGCUUAAAAAAGUAACAAUGGAAAACAAGAUGCAAGUGUCACGGGCCGCAGUUCAAAGCCCGUGACCAGCGCACCAAAUGCAUCCAAUAGAGAUCUAUUGCUCAGAUAGGGAUCAUUUGGCCCACAAGAACUGGCUCGAUUCAAGGAGCUAUUGGACAAGCCUGUCAGAUUGAAGCCUGGUUGGCCCGAAAACGAAGAGAUGGCAACUUAGGCUAAUAUGGUAACUAAUCUUAGAAGAUAGAGGGAAUCUUAUCUUGUAAAGAUUAGAUUAGAUUAGAUAAGGCUUAUCUUGUAAAUCCCUAAAAUUAAGGGAUAUGGGUUAAUCUCAUCCGUCGAUGUAAAUGUAUAUUGACCGUCGAUUUUGGGGGAGAUCAACUAUAAAUAGAGAGCCUCCCCCUCAUUUGUACUCACUCUUGUAAUUAUUUCAUUAUUCUUUGUGAAUAAGAGAAUUGAGAGCAUUUACUCAAACACUUUACGAGCGUCCUUUCUGUUGUUCUUUUGUUUAGCUUCUUUUGGCACAAUCGCUUCCGCUAUACAAAUUGGUGCCUUGGAGGAGUUCUAAAAGAAUCCUCACUUGAGUUAAGCCUGACUUGGGCGAGUUUGGAUGAACAAAUUGUCUAAGGCUGCACGAAUUACGAGACGAAAGGUCUAGCCCUGUGACAAGUGGUAUCAGAGCCAAGUUUUGAACCAAGUGACAUUCGAGUUGGUUUGAAGGCACCGUUGGGAUGUCAAGAGAAGAGUUCGAACAAAGGUGGGAGAAGAAGUAUUUGAGGGAGACAUUAUCGGUAGUAGAGAAACGUGUGGGUAAACUCGAGGGAUCCAUGGAGGAUGUAAAGGAGGCACUCGAUGGGGUCGAGGAUCACAUUGCAAACUGGAAGGAGCAGUCUAGAGACUAUGUAAAGAUGUCUCUUAGUUCCAUCAUGGAUAUGGUAAACGAGUUGUUUAAUUCACACAGGGAUAAGCUGUCGGAAAGGAAUGAUGCUCUCGAGGCCAAAAUGAUGGCUUUGAAAGAGGAAACAAUGGCCACGACGAGGGCUUUGAGCACAAGAAUAGAGGAGCUCGAGGGAGAGCUGGCCUUGUGUUGAGCAGCCGUGAGGAAAGGAGUGGCAAAUGUAGCACUCAGUAACGAGGAUGUCCCAAAGCUGAAAGAGUUUGUGGGGACAAGGUCUGCGUGCGAUGUGGAUAAUUUCUUAUGGAGGAUGGAAAACUACUUCCGUGCCAAAGGCGUCAUGGAUGAUACGGUUAAGGUAAACACUACUUCAAUGUUUCUUACUGCCAUUGCACUUUUAUGGUGGAGAGGUAGGACCACAAAUAAAAGGCAAGGUGAGAUUGGGACGUAGCAAGAGUUCCAAUGCGAAUUGAAGGGACAGUUUUACCCAGAGUUUACCGAGGAAGAAGCUCGGGCAAAGUUGCAAGGGAUAACGUAACAGGGCACAGUGGGGGAGUAUGUUCGAGAGUUCAAGGAACUCAUGCUCCAAGUUUUAAAGGUGACCGAAAGAGAGGCAUUGCUUGCUUUUCAAAAUGGAUUGAAGCCGUGGGUCAGACAGGAGGUGGAACAAAGAGGUGUCCAAAAGCUAUCGGAAGCCAUGACGGUAGUUGAGUCUGUGGUUAAGCUUAGUCUAGGGAAAGACAAGCUUGGAUCUUCCAAGUCCGAUGGAAGGGGUAUAUGUGAAAUGGAUCAAAAGGAAGAUAGUGUUGAUGGCAAUGGCAACGGCAACAAUGGUGGUAAUGGGAAACCAUGAGUUGGGAAGAAGAAACCCAAGAGGAAAAGGGACAAGCUAAAAUGCUUUCUCUGCGACGGUCCACACAUGCUGAAGAAAUGUCUGAAAAAUUUGAGCUCAAGGAGAAGCCGGUGGGUAAGGCCUUGGUACUUGGUUCGAGCGCAAGGGGUGUCGAAGCCAAGAAGGCCAAAAGUAAGAAGAAGCCAGUGGAGUGGUUCUUGUGUCAUGGUCCGCAUAGGUUACGAAAGUGUCCGAGGAAGUCUAUCAUCGAGGGGAAUGAUGGAGCAGACAAGGAGCCCAAGAAGCUUGGUUCGAGCAAGGGAAAAGCCGAAGCCAAAGGGGCAAAAGGGAGCAAAAAGAAGCGAGUAAAGUGCUUCUUGUGCCGUGGUCCGCAUGAGUUACGGAACUGUCCAAAGCAAGCCGGAGUCAUAAGAAAGGCAACGUCUGAGCUUGGUGAGUCAUCGGAGGGGCUUCCACCCAAGGAAGAGGUGAGUUUGUCAUCGAACUUAAAGGAAAUAGUUGCGAUGAAAACAGUGAAGCUGGGACCAAUGAGGCUCAAGUUGAGUGAAGCGUCGGAGUUGGCCGAGUCAUCGAUAAGGCUUCCACCUAUGGGAGAGGUGGGUGGUGCAUCAGACUUCAAGGGAAAAGAAGGGAUGCAUGUGGGACAGUUGACCAGAGUAAAUGCGACGAGUAGGACGGUUUGAGUUAAGAAGCGACGUAAGCCGAGGCAAAAAUCCCGAAGGAAGGGAAAGGCUAAGGCAUUGAGACAAGACCGAGGUGAAUCGAGUCAGUGCCAUUCAAAAGUCACAACGAGGACGGUGCAAGAAUGUGUGGGGGAGAAUGUCACGGGCCGCAGUUCAAAGCCCAUGACCAGCGCACCAAAUGCAUCCAAUGGAGGUUUGUUGCUCAGAUGUGGAUCAUUUGGCCCACAAGAACUGGCUCGAUUUAAGGAGCUAUUGGACAAGCCUGUCAGAUUGAAGCUUGGUUGGCCCGAUAACGGAGAGAUGGAAACUUAGGCUAAUAUGGUAACUAAUCUUAGAAGAUAGAGGGAAUCUUAUAUUGUAAAGAUUAGAUUAGAUUAGAUAAGGCUUAUCUUGUAAAUCCUAAAAUUAAAGGAUAUGGGUUAAUCUCAUCCGUCGAUGUAAAUGUAUCUUGACCGUCGGUUUUGGGGGAGCUCAACUAUAAAUAGAGAGCCUCCCCCUCAUUUGUACUCACUCCUGUAAUUGUUUCAUUAUUCUUUGUGAAUAAGAGAAUUGAGAUCAUUUACUCAAACACUUUGUGAGCGUCCUUUCUAAUGUUCUUUUGUUUAGCUUCUUUUGGCACAAUCGCUUCCGCUAUACAAAUUGGUACCUUGGAGGAGUUCUAAAAGAAUCCUCACUUGAGUUAAGGCUAACUUGGGUGAGUUUGAACGAACGGAUCGCCUAAGGCCUCACAGAUUGUGAGACGAAAGGUCUAGCCCCGUGACACAAGUGCUAGGUAAAACCAUCAUGUCUGCUUACUCACCACAAACAAAGGCCCUCUAGGACCUUCAUGAAUUUUUGUCUUAUAAGUGCUUCCAUUGUGAGCCUGAACAGCUUGAUAGCCCACAAGAUAAGGAUAUCGAUCUUUACCCUACAGAUUAACAAGGUUAAAUCCACUUAAAUGAAGCACCAUUAGUCUAUAACAAUUUACUUCAAUUUUCUGCUGUUAGUUCAAAUAUUUAUUUUUUUAAUUUGCCAAAACUUGCUAGGAUCGAAGAUUUGGAAUUCCUAAAUUUCAAUUACAAAUUUACACCGUACUUGCAGAAAAAUAUAUUACUAUUAGAGACACCAGCAAUCAACCAGAGUUCUUUAGUUUUCAAUCAAGUUAUUCGACAGGUAUCUAUAUUGAUUACACAAAAAAAAUCAUACACCGUGAGAAUGUCGAGUAAAUUACAAAUACAAAAGCAAACGAACCCUAAAGGAGCUCCAAUACUUCUUCUCCCAGGGGCCUUUGUAUAGAGAUCCAAUGGAAACGAUCUCUAGAUCCUCUAAUUUCGUUGUUUGUUCUCCUUUUUUUGUUUUCGCCAUUCAAAGAAAUGAGAAGAAAGCAAGAUUUCCAAACAACUAACAAUAAGAGAGUAGAGAGGAUUUUCAAGAUAGACGAAGACAUGGCAUUUUAAAAUAGGGGAACUAAAAUCUUAAAAUGCAUGAUUUCCCUUGAAAUUCUAAAUAAAAACUUUAUUUGAUUAGGAAAAAUGUGAAUUGAUUUUGGGAAAAAGAAGGGAAAAAAAAGAAAAGAUUUCAUUUGAAAUAUUGGGAUAAAAAAAUAUAAUUACAAAACGACGCCGUUUUGAAAAAAACAUAUUCGUGGCGUUUGGAAAAAAAAGUCACUAUUGCUCGACUUUUAGCGACAUUUGGACCAAAAACGCUACUAUUGUUCAACUUUUUUCUGCAUUUACAACAAAAAAGCCGCUAUUGCUUACCUUUUGCGGCGUUUUUUUUAUAAAUGCCGCUAACACUUGACUUUUUUACAAUUUUUAUAUUGAAUUAUUGUAUCUUUCAUAUAAAUUUUAAAUGAAUAAUUUUUAGUUUUUGUAUUUCAUUUUUAUUUUUGUAUUUCAUUUUUAUUUGUUAUAAUUUUGUCCUAUCCAAAAUAGAUAGUUACCUAUCCAUAUCAAUCUGUUACUUUUUUUUAUUUAUUUAUCAAUAUUUUUUUAAAUUUAAUAGUUAAAUAUAUUAAAUGGUUUAGAUUUAAUAUUUUUAAAUAUAAAAGCAUUAAUUGAUUGUAUAAAAUUUUAUCAUUUAACAAAUCUCAAGUAAACCUUAAAUCCUAAACCAUUUAAUAUAUAUAAAGUUUAUCUAUUAUCUCUUAAAUAAUUUAAACUAUAAUCAUAAUUUUAAUAUAUUAAAAUUAAAAUUAAAAUGAUCUCUUUUACAAUUAUAUAAGAAAUUAUUUAAUAUAUAAAUUAAAAAACACUAAUUAACCUAAACCCUAAACCCUAAACCCCUAUCCCCUAAACCUUGAAUUAUAAAACAUAAAACAUAAACCCUAAAUCCCUGAAUCCCUAACCCUUAACCCCUAACCCCUAACCCCUAAACCUUAAACCCCAACCCUUAAACCAUAAUCCCUAAACCCAUAAUCCAUAAUCCAUAAACCUUAAAAUAGUAACUCUUAAACCUUAAACCCUAAACCAUAAACCCUAAACUAUAAUGAUAAUUAAUUCAAUAUUUUAAAAUUAAUACUAUCUCUUUUACGAUUAUAUAAGAAAUUAUUUAAUAUAUAAAUUAAAAACAAUCAGUCAUGUACCCAAGAAACUUUAAAAUUAUUUUAAAUAAUAUAUUUUAAUUUUUUCAUUUUUAACAAAUAUUUUCUAUGUUUUUACUUUCAAAAUUUCUCUACGUGUCAUUAUUUUUUUCUGAAGAAUUUAAAUAUUCAAUUAAAAAUAAAUUUAUUUUAAUUAAUAUAAAUAAAGCGGUUAAAUAAUAAAUAGACAGAUAAAAUACUUUUUGCGGUGAUUUUCAUAAAGUGCCGCUAAAGCUCGAUCUACAGCGGCGUUUUACGAAAAAGAGUCUUACUGAAUUUUUUGGGGCAUUUUUCAAAAAGCGCCACUAAUUCUCGAUCUAUAGUGGCGUUUUUCAAGAAGCGCCGCUAAUGCCACUAAAGCUCAACAUAAAACACCAGCAUUGAGCUUAAUUUUUUUGCGGCGUUUUUCAAAAAGAGCCGCUAAUGGUAGACCUAUAGCGGCGUUUUUCAAAAAGCGCCACUAAAGCUCAACAUAAAACACCGGCGUUGUGCUUAAUUUUUUUACGGCAUUUUUCAAAAAGCGCCGCUAAUGGUCGACUUAUAGCAGUGGUUUUAAAAAAGACCCACUAAUGCUCGAUCUAUAGCGGCAUUUUUCAAAAAGCGCCGCUAAUGCUCGAUCUAUAGUAGCGUUUUUUAUCCAAACGCCGCUAAAAAUGCCACUAAAAACCUAUUUUGCUGUAGUGAUUUGUGGGGUAAGUGGUUGAACAUUUUAAUAUAGACUGACUUUUCUAUAAUUAGUCCUUGCUUUAAUUACUUUGGGUGGAUUCUUCCAACUAGUCCAAGCAUUAUUGUACAAUUACAAUUAAUCUUUUUAAAUGAGACAAACAUUUCAAAUUUGUCAUUACUAUUUGUGAGUGAUUUGGGGGUAAGAAGUUUAACUCUUCUGGAUGUCUUAUAGAAUUGUGAUUAUACUUUUUGAGUAUUGACUCAGUUUUCCACAAUUGUGGGUCUCUAUUUGAGCAAAACAAUUUCAACAUUUCUUCAUCUCGUUUAAUCCAAAUGCAUUUAUGCAUUUCUUAUAUCAUUGAAUUUGCUGCUUCAUAUUCAAUUUUUGGACAAGUAGAAUUUUCUAACCUAUUUUCCAUCAACUUCACUUGAAUUUUCAAUCACAAUCAAUUGCAUUCAAGAGCACCACAUCUUUUUGGAUGAAACAAAAAUUUCAAUUUUAAGAUAAACGGGUCUUUAGGGUUAUAAUUUCAAUUUUUAAAAGUUUAAAAUAAAUUUGUAUUUUUAUUAACAAAAUGUAUAUAAAAAAAAACUUGUUUAGACAAGCCAAGAGACCUUUGGGAUCAUACGGGUGAUUUUGAUGAUGUUAAUGGUUAUUUUGGUGGAGAGAGUGAAAAAGAAACAAAUGAUUCAUUAUAUAUAUUAUAAUUAUGAAAUUCAAGCCAUAUAUUGUAUGUUUCAUACAUAAAAAAAAUUGGAGCAAUUUAAUCCCUAUCAAUUUUGAAAGUGAGUAACUAAGGACAAUUAAUUAUGGUGUUAAAUUCUUCCAUCAAUUGUACAUAAUUUUGAUUGGUAUAGUAAUAAAUUUAGCCUUCAAUAUUUAUAUAUUUUUUCAUUUUGGCCUUAAUUUUUUUUAAAAAAUUCAAGAAAUUCAACCUCAACAUUUACAUAUUUACACAAACAUUGCGGGAAAAUUUUGUUAAAUUAAGACCAAAUUGCAAGUGUAAAUUUUGAGGGCUAAAUUUAUUAUUAUACCAACCAAAAUCAUGUACAUUUUAUGGAAAAUUAACAUCUUGAUUAAUUAUUCUUAGUUGUUCACUUUCAAAAUUAAUAGGGACUAAAUUACUUUGAUUUUUUUAGGGUGACCAAUUUCCUCAAAGUGGAAAUUGAGAGAGACUAUUGAGAUCUUUUGCAUAUUUCUUUUAUAAAUAUAUUUUUUAAAUAUAAAAUAUAUUUGUUCACACACAUCGUGAGUAUGAUCUCAAUAGUCCACAUAAUCCAUUAAAAAAACUUAAAAAAUAUAUUUUAUUUUUUAACACCUAAGUGAUUCUCCAGCUAACGACCACCCAAGACACACCCCGACUUUAUAACACCCCAAUCUUAUUUAAUUAUUAGUUAUUUAUUAAUGCAGAAGUAAAUUAUGAGCCAAUUUUAAUCUUUUCCUCGGUAAUUUAACCUAAGGCCAAUUUCAUCAUUUUACCACCUAUUGUAAAACUAACCCGAUUUUAGAUAUAACAACAUGUUUGGUUUGGUGUAAUAGAUUAGCCAUUACACCCCUAUUUCGUGGGCCCCACUAAUCCCCACUUAUUCUUGUGUUUGGUUUGAUGUAUUGCCUAUUACAGGCCUAUUACAACACGAAUGUAUUCCUCAUUUUCUCUGCUUCAACAAUGAUUAGCCAUUCCGUUCCAAAAGUAAGGAUUAGCUAAUCGUCUCUGUUUUACCCUCCUCAGCCAAAAUCUACUGCUCCACCCCACCCUCUCCCUCCCAACAUCAACAGCAGUUUUCUUCGAACCAAAUCUCCACCGUCUCAGAUCGCCUGUGAGUAAUCUCAACAGCAGUUGCCAGUGAAAAUUGCCCUUUCUUCAAAAACCCAGCCCUAAACCCUUCUUCUCUUUCAAUACUCCAUUCGAACAGGUUGCGGUGUCUCCCUCCUCUGAGGUAUGGCUCUGUUUCUUUAACUUUAGCAUUGAGCGACUCUUUUCAAUUCCAAAAUUAGUCUACUCUGCUAAGGGUUCUUGCUUUUCAAACCAUUUUUUCACCAUUUUUCUUGUAAUUCUUUUUCUUGUUAGAGUUCAGAUUUUAGAUUUUUUUUAAAAAAAAACGAUUAGAUUGUGAGGUUCAGUUAAUUAUUAGGGUUUUCUGUUUUGGGUUUCCCUGUUGCGUGGUAAUUUUGAAGUGCAUAUAAAAUGGAUGCUUUUGAGGAUCUUAAGCAAUUCGGCGAUACUGAUAAAGGUUGAUAUUCGAUUCAUUUUGCUUUAAUUUACUUGGUUUAUGCAUUUUGGGGAUAAAAUUAGCUUUGUUUUCUUCUCUUUUGGUUGGCUUUAAGCUGAGAGUAAAAUUUGAAACCUUUGUGGUGGAGGAGUUACCGUUCUUCUGAGAUCAAAUGUAUAACAGGUUAGAAGGAAAUGAAAUUAGAUCCUUAAAUAUUGUGUUUUCAAUGUUAAGGGCAGGCUUUUGUUGCUAAAACAAUUGUGGUAACACUGUUUGAUUCAGUUAGAAGUCAAAUGUCGUUUCCAUGUGUGAACAAUUUCUGGUUUUUAAGUAGCGACUUUGUUUCAUGUUGGCCUGGACAUUUUCCAAAUUAGUAAUUAUAAGUUUGAAUUUGGCUACUAAAUCACGCCAAUUAAUGAUUUCAGUGUGCUGGUGUUUCAGACUUUCAGUUGAAUUGACUUUGGUUUCGAAUAUUUUUAGUGAUGGAAAUAAGCACGAUUUAUUUAAAUUAUGAUUGAAUUGGAGAAACUGCUUUUUGUACAUUUUGAGAAAUAUCAGGCCCUUGGAUACACAAAGGGUGUUAACUUGCGCCUAUCUCAAUUACCCCAUUCCUGCCCAUUGAAUUGGAGAAAGUUCUUUUUUUUAAUGAUUCUGCGUUGCUACUGAUUUUUAGUGAAAUGGUAUUUUUCUUAUGAUGUGUUUUCUUCUUUAUGAAGAGCUCAUUUCAGUAAAGUUAACCUUUCUAUUAUGCAGAAGGUGCAGUAUUUGAUGCAUCACAAUAUGCAUUUUUUGGAAACAAUGUUCUCGAGGAAGUUGAAUUGGGGGGGCUAGAUGAUGAGGAUGAGGAUUUACCUGCAGCUGGACUUGAUGAAGAGGAGUUUUUGUUUGAUCAAGAGGAGGUUAAUAUUCUUGUUUCUUUCAGUUUUAUUUUUCCUGUUUCGAUUGUUCUUGCAAGUUUCUGCAGCAUAGCACAACCAGUGACUAUUCGAUCGAAAAAUAAAUGUAUCCCUUCCAGGCGUCAUGCUAAAAAAUAGCCUUUUGGAUUAGUGUUGGAUUUUUUCUCCAUGUUCUUUAACAGAUAGAUUCCACUGCAUUCAAUUAGUGGUUGGCAUGCGAGUUUUAUUUGUGGAAUAAAGCUCUGUGGGAGUUCAUAUUAUAUAUUGUUCUAUUUGUCUGUGCAAAACAUUGUGAACCUUGUUCUCUGUAUUUAUAAGUUGACAAUGUAGCCAUCUUGGUUGGCUGCUUUCCGAAGUCAAUUUAUUUGAUUCGUUCUCUUUGCUCUUCACAAUGAGAGGUAGCUCUUUUGUACUUUUUUAAUAAGAUCAUAUUAUACAUGCUCUUUUGCAGUGGUCUAGUGGUUUAGUAUCUUGUUAAUAAAACCAUAUUGUAUAUUUGAAUAGUUUGGAGAUUGUGUUAACUGUAUUUGGUGCAUCUUGAAGUAAUGUUUGUUGUAUCUUAUAUGCUUCCUGAAUCAAAUAUGGAGAGAAGGUAGUAUAUGGAGUUUAUAUUUUCAAGUAUUUUUCACACAAUUGAUUUAUCUGUUCCCUUCAUUGAGGGGAAAACAUGGAAUGAAUUGACUUACACCUCACUUCUUCCUCAAACAUCUUUUGUACCACUUAUUUUCAUAAAAUGAUAAGAAUCUUUUUAGAUUACAACUUCCAGAGGUCUAUGUCACCUUCUUGACAAUCAGGUUUUUAGGAAUAUUUUUACCCAUCAUGCAGAAGUUUUAGACAAAAUCUUGUUCGUGGUUGCUGCUAGAUGCAUGAUACUGCCUCAUUUCCUUUGUGGUGGUUCUUCGCUCUCCCCCUUCUUAGUAUUUUUGGUUGUUGAGUCUUGGAGGCAGUUGUAUUCAGUAAUGGCUGGCUUGCUUUGAUGCAUUGCUUCUGUAUAUCUUUGUAGAAAACGAAUCUGUAUCUAUUAUUAACACAAAUUUGAUUAGUUCAUGCCAAUGGAUUUGUAAAGUUAAAUUAGUUAUUGGCGUUAGAAAUUUACUCUUAUGCCUGGAAGGAGAUCUGGCUUACAGAUCAACUACUGGAGUUAAUUGUGGAAAUUUGUUUGAUUUGGUUUCUUAUAAAAUUGUUACCCUGUUCUAUUUAUGUUGGAGUAGCUGAAAUCUGAGGUUGCAUUUGUCAUUAACAAAUAGAAAUCCAAAAAGAGAGGAAAGUGAUAUCAUCCCCUCCACUUUUUCCUUGGAAUUGCGUACUUCAAACUUUUUUAAUUGUAUAAAUUCAUAUAAGAAAAUUUAUUAUGAUGUUGUAAAACUAUAAAACAUAUGGAUUAUGAUGUAGAAUUUCAUUUUCAUCUAACCUUUUCUUAAUAUAAGUUAAUUAUGUUUAUGCAGAAUAUAAUCUCAAGUUAUAAUUUGAUUUUAGUAAAUUCAUAUAAGAACAUUUUAUUAUUAAAUUAUAUUUAAUAUUAAUUAUUUUAAAUUGUAUAAAUUCAUAUAAGAAAAUUUAUUAUCAAGAAUUUUAUGAAAUUAUAUAUCAUUAUUAAAUUAUAUUUAAUAUUAAUUAUUUUAAAUUAUAUAAAUUCAUAUAAGAAAAUUUAUUAUCACGAAUUUUAUGAAAUUAUAUAUUAUUAUUAAUUAUAUUUAAUAAUAAUUAUUUUAAAUUAUACAAAUUCAUAUAAGAAAAUUUAUUAGUUAUAAUUAUUUUAAAUUUUAUUAAAUCAUAUAUUUUAAUUAAAAUAUUUUUAAUAUUAAUUACUUCAAAUUAUAUUUUAUAGUAUCAUAUAUUAUGAUUUUAGUAAAUUCAUAUAAGAAUUUUGAUUAUUAAGAAUUUUAUUAAAUUAUAUAUUUUAAUUAAAAUAUAUUUAAUAAUAAUAAUGUUAAAUUAUCUUUUAUCGUAUCAUAUAUUAUGAUUUGAGUAAAUUCAUAUAAGAAUAUUAAUUUUUAAGAAUUUUACUAAAUUAUAUAUUUUAAUUAUAAUAUAUUUAAUAAUAAUUAUGUUAAAUUAUAUUUUAUAGUAUCAUAUAUUAUGAUUUGAGUAAAUUCAUAUAAGAUAUUGAUUAUUAAGAAUUUUAUUAAAUUAUAUAUUUUAAUUUAAUAUAUUUAAUAAUUAUUAUGUUAAAUUAUCUUUUAUAGUAUCAUAUAUUAUGAUUUGAGCAAAUUCAUAUAAGAAUAUUAAUUAUUAAUAAUUUUAUUAAAUUAUAUAUUUUAAUUAUAAUAUAUUUAAUAAUAAUUAUGUUUAAAUAUGAUUAAAUUAUUUAUUAUUGAUAUUAUUAAUCUUAUUAAAAUUUAAAUAACAAUAACAAUAAUCAUUUACCCAAACAAAUUUAUGCUAAUGGUAUUCUAGUCAUUUUAGUUUUUUUCCAUUAUGCUAUUACACCUCUAUUCCAUUCAACCAAACACAAGAAUACUAUUACGCCUCUAUUCCAUUACGCCUCUAUUCCAUUCAACCAAACAAUUGAUUUGCUAUUACGCCUCUAUUCCAUUACACCUCUAUUCCAUUACGCCUCUAUUCCAAUACAGCGAACCAAACGUGCUGUAAGUGUUUACCAACCUUCUUUUAGUUAAAUUAUGCAAGCCUAAAAUUUUCAGCUUUAUUUGAGUACGUUUUCUAUGUCUAAUUCAAGUUUUAUUAUUAAGGACUAAAUUGUAACUUAAACAAAUUAGAAUACCAAUUUAAAGAGACAAAAUUCAAAACCCCAAAACCCACACGGGCAUGUGGGUAAGUGGCACGGGCCAGUGGAGACUGGAGCUAUCACAUAAGGCGAGUGAGAUUGAAACAUAUGAAAUAAAUUAAUCCACUUAAUUUUCCAACAACCAUGCUAUACUACCAAACCAAAUAACGAGUGAAGCUUUGAAUAGGGGCGAAUCUAAAAAAAAAAUUAGAAGAAUUAGAAUUAAAUUAUAAAAUUUUGAGAAGUUAUCAUGUAUUAAUUUAUUAUUUUUUUAAAGGGUCCUAAUAGAAUUUUUUUCCCAUUCUGGUUGGGCCAAUACCUUUGACUGCCUCUUUAAAUUUGCUUCAACCCUAAACCCAAUAUUCGAUUUGGAUUAACAACAAUAUAUAGGUUUGUAUUUGUGGGAGUUUGACGAAUAAAAAUUUCUAUUUAAAAGGUUUAAAUUAUAAAUUUUUGAAAGUUUAAAAUAAAUUUGUAUUUUUUAUUAACAAAAUAUAAAAGAAAAAAAACAUGUUUAGACAAGACAAGAAACCUUGGGAUCAUACGGGUGAUUUUGAUGAUGUUAAUGGUUAUUUUGGUGGAGAGGGUAAACACGAAACAAAUGAUUCAUUAUAUAUAAUAUAAUUAUGAAAUUCAAGCCAUAUAUUGUACUUUUGGUUUUUCUGCAAUAUGAUACAUGUAUUUGGUAAAAAGUUAUAUAUUUUGAUACUUAAAAGUAACAUUGUUAAUUUUUUUAGUGCUUAAUCUGAAUUUUAGAGUUUAUUUAAUGAACAUUAAUUGUUAAUAUUGUUAUGUUUAUUUUUUUAUGAUUUUGUUAAUAAAAUAAAUUUUAUGUUUAUCUUGUUAUCUUUUUUAUUUUAGAAUUGAUUACAUGAAAGUUAAUUGCUAAUAUUAUUAGUUAACUAUUAGUUUUCUUCAAAUCAAAUUAAAACCCGAAAGAUCCCACUUUUUUUUUAUAUUAGUUUUAGUUAUCCAUUAAAUUUGUUUCUUUGUAAUAAAAUUAAAUUAUAGAAAUAACAUUAAAAUUUUAAAUAAAAUUAAUUCACAAUAAUUAUACAGAAUUUAAUUUUCUUUCAAAUACUGCAGUUAAUAAGGAAAGUGAAUAUAGUAAAAAGAAAUAUUGUUUAAUUAGUUAAUUUAAAAAUCAAUAGCGUCUAAAAACUGUCAGAAUGGAAUAUUAGAUUUUAUAAGAUUUCAUUAUUCUAAAAAAUAAAAUAUGACAAUGCUUAAAAAUUUUAUCAAAAAAGUUUUAAAUUUUAUAUAAAAUUUUAAAAAAUAAAAAAACAGUAUUAAAAAUUUUUAUAAGCAAAUUAAAUAUUAAUUAGUAAAUUAUUUUUGUAAUAUUUAUAUGUAUUUUCAUUUUUAUAAAUACUAUUAAAACUUUUUUUAAAAAAAUUGAAUGCUAUGUAAAAACAUUAUUAAAAAUAAAAUAUUAUAUGAAAGUUAAAAUGAUGUAAAAACAUAUUUUCAGUGUUGGCGUUGCUCGUUCGUAAAUGGGUUAGUUUCCGUUUUGAUGUGUUUUUACGUGGAUAGUAAAAGAAAUGUGUUAAUUUUUGGAUUAUGGAGUUGAUCGUUUUUAAUCAAUUCUCCAGUAAGUUGACUCGUUUGUUGUUGUUAUGUGCUAGGAUAAGAGAUUAAUUCUGAUUUGGGCCUGUGUGGUUGUGUAGAUUUUCCAUGUGAAAUCGUUUGGUAUUUUUAGGAUAAAUCAUUCUUUAAAUCGUAUUGCUACCAUCGCGAAUGUGAUGUUUUAAUUUAUGCAUUUAGGAUCUGGUAGUCUUAUAGGUGUUUUCGCAUAAAAAAUUGAACCAUGUGUGUAACGAAAGCUAAAAAAUUGCACUGUUGACGCCACACGGCCAUGUGACAAGUCGUGUGCUGGAUCAUGUGUAACACACGAUUUGAGCUAGUUGAGCCAUGUGGAAAACAAAGGUGUGUGUGAAGGCGUGUGCCACACCAUGUGGGCCACACAGGCUGGCCAUUUAGGCCGUAUGGGACCAAAAUUCUAAUUUUUUUCCUAGGGUUAUACACAGUGUGUAUACUUGUCUUUGAAUUGAAAAAUUCUAAACAACUCUAAAUAAAUGGAAAGCAGCAAAUUACCUGACGAGGCAAGCUAGGUCAAUUACGACCAUUGUGUUAUUCUUGUCUCUGAAUUGAAAAUUUUAGAAGAAACUAAAGAGAAAGUGUUAGAAAAUAAUUGAAAACAGAUAAAACUUAUGUCUCAUUGAUUGGAUAAACUACGAUCACCCAUAAUAGACCUUGUACUUGACUUUUUGUUUAGGGAGAUUGACUCUUUUAGGAGAAGUCUUUUGAGUGUUGUUUGCUAGGCAAUCGGUGCUGCCCUCAACAACUAAUGGUAGUGUCCCCAUGUUGGGAUUUUAUCCCCAGCCUCUGCGGAAUAAUCAUUGAGGAUAUGUGCGUAGGGAUUCAAACUACCAAUCAAUGCAUGUGUAGCCUUUACCUUGCAACCAUCUCCAUGAACCCAUAGGGUUCUUAGCGGGAUCAAGAGACGAAACCCUAAUGUGGGAACAAUACCAUUUGUUGAAGGCUUUGUUAAUAGGGUCACACCUAGGGGAGUUGGCAGGGGUCCCAACCCCCCUUAAAAUGAAAAAUUUUCCAUUUAGGCCCUUUAAAAUUUUUAAAAUUUUAAAUUAAUAAAAGUAAAAUUGUACUUUGGCCCCCCAAAAAGUGAUAAAACUUCGAUUUAGUCCUCUAAAAAUUAUAAAAUAUAGGCUAUUAAAAUGGUGAAAUUGCAUUUUUACUAUCAUAAAAAUUAUAAUUUAAUUUCACCCCCUAAAAAGAUUUUCUGGCUUCGCCCCAAAUAAAAUCUUUGCCAAAAGAUUAAAAUAAAAUUAUACCGUAAAUGAAAAAAUAAACUAAGAAAAUCCAAUCUAACAAAGAAAAUAACUUGAUGUCCAAAAGCUACCAUGAACCGUAAUUCAUGGGAAGUCUUGUUGCUCAUUUUAUUGGUUUCCAUUUUGAUUUUGCAAAAUAAGUUUGAAUUUUGAAGAGAGCCUACUACGUGAGAGCAAAAGAAAAAAAUUCUAUAAAGAUUUUGAAUUUUGAAUUUUGAAUUUUGAAUUUUGAAUUUUGAAUUUUGAAGCAGAUUUUCAUUAAGAUUGAAGAUUCCUAAUUGAUUUCUUAGGAGAUUAUCAUGAGUUCCUUAUUUCUUUCAGUUAUAUUGCCCUUUGGAUUUUUUAUUUUUAAUCAUGAACUACUUUUCUAAAUACGUAAGAGAGAUGAACCCUAUGAUAGAUUGUGACACCCCAAAGCUGACCGGGAUAGACCGGCCUGAAUUCAAAGCAUUACAUUAGCCACCUAAGGACCACUCAAGACACACCCCGACCUUAUAACACCUCAAUCUUAUCUAAUUACUAGUUAUUUAUUAAUGCCGAAGUAAAUUAUGAGCCAAUUUUAAAGUUUUCCUAGGUAAUUUAACCUAAGGGCAUUUACAUCAUUUUAUGACCUAUGGUAAAACUAACCUAGAAAUACCGAAAACAUUCCAAAAUAAUAUAAAAAAAAAGCUAAGAAAAACCUAGAAAUACAAAAAAAAAUUCAUGUUUUUACAAAUUGGGAAAUACCUAAAUUUGUUUUUAUCAAUUAAGAAAUUAAAAAAAUUGUUGAGAAAUAUCUUUUUAGUGAUUGUUAGCUUUGACAAGUUCUCUCCACCACUUCUCUUACGCUCCUUCCAGGAUCUUGCUUUUUGUGUGUUGAAAACUCAAAUGAACAAAAUAAAGUGAAUUUACGAGUUUUGUUUUCUUUUAAAAAUAUUUUUAAUAUUUUUGUGGAUACCAAGAGAUACCAAAAAUUAUUUCACUAAGAAGUUUUAAUUCACUCGAAAAGUUAGUGUUUUAUUUCAAGGGGUCAUAAUUAAUCAUUAGAUUUCUCAAUUUUAAAUUUUGAAUUUUUGACAAUUGUGUAAUUAAUAAGUACCAAUUUUGAGUGGUGUAGGGCUAGUACAAUCUCCCUUACACAUAACCGACUCUUGAUCUAAUAAAUAUUUAUCCUUAUACUUUGAUCUAAAUAUUUUGAUGUAAUCAAUGUAAAAAACCUUUUAAACAAAAUAAGGUUGAAAUAAUCUAUUUGUCUUUAUACUUUGAUAAAAUUUGGGAUUUAGUCCUCAUACCUAAUGUUGACACCAUUUUUUUGUGAAAACGGGGUUGACUUGGAUUUUGUAAACGAAAACGAAAACGGGGGUCGCCACCAAUUCUUUUUGAUAAGGUGUGAUCGGGCCACCUUGAAAAGUGGUUGUUUUUAAUAAACAAUUUAAUUUUAUGAAAACAACGAUUUUGGUCCACGAAAUUCAGAAAAACAGGUUCGGGAGUCGGUUACGUACGAGGAAGGAUUAGCACCCUCAUAACGCCCAAAAUUGGUACCUAGUUGAUUAAUUAAUGUCUUAGUGUAGAAGAUUGAAAACUCUAAAGAGAUUUAAAACACGAUCCUUUACUGAAAUGAUAAAAAUUUUCGGCAAAAAGGGCAUAUUUCACAUUAAUCGAGAAAGAGAAUUAUAUCCAAUAAGUUAGAACACAAUGUCUUGAAUUCCGAUGCGCGAAUGAAUACCAAAAAUUUACUUAUUUAAAAGAUAUUUAACUAUCUCGGAUUUAAAAAAGGGAUCAUGCCCAGUAAGUUAGGACACGAUCUUUUCUUAAUUCCCGAGAUCGUUUAAAACUUGAGAAAAAAGGGAUCAUGCCCAGUAAGUUAGGACAUGAUCUCUUCUUAAUUCCCGAGAUCGUUUUAAACUUGAGUUUGAAAAGAUUCGUGUAUUUAAAUUUAUUGUGAAAAUUGAAACCCCGUAAGUUAGGGUACGACCUUCUCGAAUCUAAACAUGAGAUUUUGCUUAUUCAAAAAAUCAUAAUUUAUGCAUUGAAUAAAAUUAAUCUAACACGAAAUAGUAGAAAUGCAACACGGUGUCAAUAUGUGUAACAAGACAAAAAUGAAUAUGAUAAUGUAAGCAUAAAUAGUACGAACGACAUCGUAAAUGAGAUAAAUAAUAGGAGAGACAAAUCCAUCAUAUCACAACAAAUAAAUAAAUGCAAUAUUAAGACAUUCUUUUCAAAUGAUAAUGAACAUAUACGCAAAUAAACAAAUUAACAUCGAGUGAAACAAAAAUGCAAUAACGAAAUUAAUAAAACUAUAAAAAGUAUAAAAAUAUGUGUGUAUGUACGUGUAGGUAUGCAUUAUAAAAAUAUAUGUGCAUAUAUAUAUAUAUAUAUUUGAAAUUACAAAAUAUAAAAGAUAUAUAUAGGUAUGUAUAUGUAUGAGUUAUAAAAUAUAUGUAUGUAUAUGUGUACAUAACUAAAUUUGAAAUAAAUAGAUAUAGAUAAACAUAAUAAUAAUAUAGUAAGACAGAUAUAUUUAAUAUUUAAAUAAGUGAACAUAAUAAAUGGGAGUAUAAUAAAUAAUAAUAAUAAUGCAAAGCUAGUAAUAUGAUAUAAUGAUAUAAUAUUAAUGACUAAGUAAAUAUAAGAAGAAAAUAUUAAUAGAUAAUGUAACAACCCGGUUUUGACCCUAAUCGGAAUAGUGGUUUCGGGACCACAAAUCCGAACUAGAAAAAUAUUAUUAAUAUUAUUUAGUGUGUUUAUAUUGUGUGCAUUUGAAUGUGUGAAAUUUUCGUGUUUUAAUUUCAUCGUUUAAGUGUCCGAUUUAAUAAAAGGGUUUAAUCGCGUAAAAUGAAAAAUUAGGGGUUAAUUAUAAAAGCACCUAAUUGUUGUUGGCUUUAUAAUUUAGAGGUUUUACUAUGAAAUUAGUCCACUAUAUAAGUUAGUGGGUGGCAAAAGACUAAUGUAACCUUAUUAUAUAUGUUUUAUAUAUAUAUUAGUAAAGGUUAAAAUAGUAAAUUAAUUAUAAAGUUAAUAUAUGUUUAAUAUAACAAAUUAAAUGGCUAUGUUCUUCAUCUUUUGGCCGAAUGGGUGAGAAAAUAAAAGGGGUUUAAAGCUUUUUGUAUUUCGGCAGAUUCAAGCUUUGAUUUAGGUAUGUUUUUGCUUCGGUUUUUGAUGAUUUUUACGUUUUUGAGAUCGUUGCUUUGAAUACUUCAAAACCCAUGUCUUAAUUUUGUGAAUUGAUGAAUAUUUUGAAUUAUGUCAUUGAUGAAUAUUUGUGUUUUGGGAUGUUUGAUGAUGAAUAAUGGAAGAUAUGUCUUAGAUUAACAUGUUUUGUAUUGGUAUUUUUGAUGAAUUUGAGUAUUUAGGGCUAAAUUGUGAAAAUAAAUUUUUGAGGGAUUAAAAUGUGAAAUAAAUGCAAUGUGUGGACUUGUAUGAGAACCAUGAAUAUUCGGCCCUUGUGUGGUAUGGGCAAAUUUUGUGUAUUUUGUGUUUUGUGCAAAAAGGACUAAAUUGCAAAAAGUGCAAAAUGUUAGGGGCAAAAUGGUAAUUUUCACAUUUAUGUAUUGAUGGACUCAAAUGAAUGUUUUGAUGAAUAAGAAGGUUAAAUUUGACUAUGUUUAGAUCAAGGAACGAAGAAAACGAAUUUGGAUCGGGGGAAGUCGAAAGUAAUCGAAUAGUCGAUCGUGUUUGCUGAUAUCCGAGGUAAGUCUAUUAGCAACUAAAAGUUAUUAAGUUAAUAUUUAUACAUGCAUACUAAUUUUAUCUUAUGAUUGAGCUAUAAUUUAAAGUAUAAAAGUUGAAUAAACUUUGGACUAUAGAUAUUGUAUAUAACAUGUUCGAAUAUACAAGUAUGAUCUUGUAUAAAUUAUUGGAUUAAUCAAAGAUAUGUAUAAGAUAUAUGUAUAUACAUAUAAGGUUUGAAUGAUUAUAUGAGUAUGUAUAUAUAUGUAUAAACUCUUGGAUUUGAUUUGUGAUAUGUAAUUUAUAAUUGUAUAUAUAUAUAUAUAAAGUCGAAUAAGCAUGCAAUUAUACAUGUAUGUGUUGUGUAUUGAAUUUAGAUAUGUCAUUAUAUAAGUAUAUGAGGAUUGAUUGUGAAUUUAUAUAUGUAUAAGUUUUUGUUUUGAAAUUAAGUAUGAAAUUAUACAUUCAUAUGGUAGAUUCGAAUAUGUAUAAAUGCACAUGUAUAAUUUCUUGAAUUGAAAUUAGGUAUGGAAUUAUAUAUGUAUGUGAAAGUUUCGAUUUGUAUGUAUAUUCACGUAAAAUUUUUUGAAUGGAAGUGAAGAUAUGAAAUUAUUAGUUUGGAUCAUUAUAAAGUGAUUGAAUGUAAUACAGACGUUACGUCUAGCAGGCUUGAUGCCGGUGAAGUAAUUCAGACUUUAAGUCUAGCAGGCUUAAUGCCGGUGAUACAUUUCAGACUAUAUGUCCAGCAGGCUAAGUGCCGGUGUACUGAAUCAGGCUUUAAGCCUAGCAGGCAAAAUGCUAGUGAAUCUUUUUAAAUUAUGUGAGAAUAUGCAAUUGAUAUAUCUAUGAUUUUGAUUAUACGAAAUAGAUGAAUACAUGAACAUUCGGUUUUUUUUUAUAUGCCUGGUGAGCUUACACCUACAUUCGGGUUUUAUAUUGGUUAAACAUAAUUGUAUGGAUUCGGUAUAUACAAUUAAUAAAGGCAUAUGUACAUUAGGUAUAUGCGAUUGCUGAAAUUAUAAAUGCAUAUGGUGAUAUGUGAUUGUUAAAUAUACACGUUGAGCCUAUGUGUUCGAUAAUUAAUUAUGUAUGCAAUUGAGAUAUGUAUAUAUAUACAUGUACUCAUUUAUAGGUAUAUAUAUUCGAAUGUAUAUACUAGCUAUGUAUUCAGGUAUAAAUCCAUAAUGAGUAUAUAUAUAUACAAACGAAUAUAAAAUGUGAUUGAUACAUAUGUGUUAGAUUCGAAUUGAUUUAAAGUUUACCAUGAGUAUACAUACACAUUCGGUUAAGAUAUGUGUAUAAUAUAUAUAUAUGCUCGAUUGUAUACAUUGGGUUGUAAUGUUGUUUUGUAUAAUAUAUAUUCAAUUGAUUUCAUUCGACAGGUAUACAUAUCUGACUAUAAAUAAAAUGGUCUGAGUACAAUAAUGUAUGAAUGUUAGUUGGUCGUGUUAGUUGAAAUUUCAGUAAAAUAGAUUAAAAGGUUAUAUUAAUUAUGUGUUUAUAUAUACAUUUAGUUAUGCUGUAGACUUACUAAGCUAUAAAAGCUUACUUCAUUUGUUUUCGUUCAUUUGUUUUUAUAGAUUUUGGAGACGCGUUACGAGCUCGGGGAUCAUCAGCAUAGUCCAUCACACUAUCGACUUCUUUUGGUAUUUUGUUAAAUAUUUGAACUCGAUCUUAUGGCAUGUAUAGGCUUGAUAAUGUUUUGGUUAGUUUUGGAUCCUAAUAUGUAAAUAGUCAUGCGAAAAGGGUUUAAUUUCCAUGCUUGAAUUUGACUACAUAUGAUCAUGAUUUGGGCUUGCAUUUGAAUGAGAUAUUCAAGUUACAUGUAUGUUAUAAAUUUUGGAUUAUGUUAGGUAUUAAAGUCAUGUUUAUGUGUGCUUUGUUUCGUAAUGCCUCGUAACCCUAAUUCGGCGACGGAGACGGGUUAGGGGUGUUACAGAUAAUAGCUAGGUUAAUAAAAAAAACAAAAUGGACUAAUUCAUGAUAAAAAUUAAAUUUAAAGGUUCAAUCUAUAAUAAAAUAAAUAAAGUGGGUCCAAAAUGAAAAGGCACGAAAGGGCGGAGGGCCAAAUGAGCAAUAAACCCAAAUUCCAGGCCACGCCCAGGGGUCCAACGAAUUGAGGAACGAAUUGAAAACCGCAACAAACCUACGGUCCAAAUUACAAAACGAGGGAAAAAAGAAAAGGAACUAAAUCAAAACAAAUCGAUAAUGCGGAGGGGCCAAAGGAGCAAAUAACCCAACACUUAACAAUGCACGGAUCCUCUGGUCGGGUCGAGUCGACGAGUGGAUCUGGGGGGCAAAACGACGCCGUUUUGGUACCUGGGAGGCCUGCCCAAAACGACGUCGUUUUAGGGCCUAUAUAAGUAAAAAAACAUAAACAAAAAAAUCAUUUUAAAUCCAUUUCAGAAAAAAAAAACUUUCCCUUUUUUAUUUUCUCUCUAGCCCCACUCCCUUCGAUCCAGACUCCGACCGAUGGCCGUCGCACCGCCCACCGACCACCGGCGACGGUGCCGCCCACUGACCACCGAUGACGGCGCCGUCGUGCACAGUUGUCGGAAAGUUCAAAACCCCUUUUUCUCUUCUCUUUUCGAGUAAAGUACCUAUUUGGGUUUAAGACAUCCCAAAAGUCCUUCAAAAUAAAAAAAGAAAGAGAGAAAAAUCUAGAGACCUUUCGGUUUCUCAUCACCGCCGAUGGAGUUUUUGGCGAACCCGUUGGUUUGACCACCCCAAGACCGGAGGUACCUCCGUCCGCGGCAAUAAAGGUAAUAGAUUUCUCUUUUUAUUUACUAUUAUAUUUAUUUUCGAAAUAAAUAAAUAAAUAAAAAUAUAAAAGAGGCACCUUUGUUUUUUCCAAAUCUGUUUCAAACUUUUUUAUUUUCGAAAAAAUCCCAAAAAUCCCCAUGAUUACAUUGAAUUUGUGGCUUUUAUAGCCCAAUGCAUAUUUUCUUUUUUCUUUUUGUUUAUCACUGCUUCUCUGCUAUUUGUGCUGUUGUUGCGUGUUUUUUUCAUGUUUUGCAGGUCUUGACGGAGCAGGUGGGCAGGUGGCAGAGCAAGUGGCGGUGGGUGGUGUCAGAGGUGGCAGAGGCAGAAGGUGACGCCAGAAGAUAGGAACCCCUAGGUGUGGCGCACCUAGGGUUUGACAUUGUUGUUUUUUAUUUGAUUUUUUGGGCUAGGUUUAGACAGUUGGGCCUGUGCAUUUUGCUUCGGGUUUGGGUUUAAUCUCGUUGGGCCGGGUGUAAUUGUGUUAGUUAGGCCGGGGCAUAAAUUGGUUAUUACACCUAAAAGGUUAAAAAUUAAGUCUUCUUAUUUUUUUUUAAAUCUUAGUCCUACCGUUAAUUUUUUUUUGUCAAAAUUUGUUAACUUGACAUAUUAAUUAGGUUUUCCUUAUAUGUCGUGGUAUAUGACCAACACAAAAUUAAACAAGUUGACAAGUUCUGACAAAAAAUAUCAAAGAUGAUAAUAAUUUAAUUAAAAUUUUUAAAUUGAAAAAGUAAGGGAUUAAAUUUAUAACUUUUGAAGUGUAAAGAAUGAACUUAUUGAAAUACAAGAACUAACAACACAUUUUAAAAUAUUACUAGUAAAUUAUAUAUCUACAACGUAAGCUCUUAUAUUAUAUUCUUGUAUCUAUUUUGUAUCUUUCAUUAUAAUAUGAUUUAUUAAUUUUAAUAUUUUUAUAGAAUAAUAUGCUUUAAACUAUUUUUUGUAUAAUUUAUAAAAAUUAUAAUAAACUUGCAAAAUGAUUUAAUGAUAUUUAAUUAUUAAUGGAAAAAAAAAUGAUAACAUAUAUAUUCUGUAUAUAUUAAGAUUUUGAGUCAUUAAUUAUAUAUCUACACAUUAUAAUAAAUUCAUCUUUCAAAAUGUUCCUUAUAAUUAAAGCAUAAAUUAUAUUUAUAAUAUUAUAAAUAUAUUAUAUCAUAAAUAUUCUUUCAAAUAUUUUUUAAUGUUUAAUAAUAAGUUAAUUUAUAAAAUAUUCUUUCAAUAAAUUAACGUGAUGCGAUCGUUAGGUGCUUGGAUUUGGUGAUGGGGGAUGAAGAGAAAAGGGAUGGAAGUGAAGAAAAAUGUUGAGAAAUGGAAAGGGUUAGCAAGGGAAGCUGCCAUGAAAGUUGGUUCUAUGGAUAUGAACCUUCAAGCUUUUGUGGAUGAUGUUACUCAAGGUUGUUGGAAGUAAAUUUUAAAAAAAUUGAGGUAAAAUUAAAAAAAUGUUAGAGCUAAAUUUGUCAUUAUGACUAAAAUGUAAAACCAAAAUUUUUUGAAAAUAAAAAAAAAUGGAAAAUAACAAAUUCUGUCACUCAUGUUUGCUUAAAAUAUAGUUUUGGUCACCAAUCUUUUGAAGUAAAUAUAUGGUCACCAAUAUUAUCCAUUUGUUACUCUGCAAUAACUCACCUCUAUGAAAUUUGGCAGGCCGUGUCAAUUUUGUAGAUUUGCGCUCUGAACUGUGAAAAAAAUGCAAAUUUUAGGUUAUUCAAGCAUUUUAAUACGUAUAUAUGAAAAAAAGAAGAAGAUAGGAGAGAACCUUCCUAGAAUAUUUAAGAAAAUAGCUCCAAAGACACUAUUGAAGUCAACUUUGAAGCAAAUUUUCAUCAAGAUUGAAGAUUCCCAGUUGAUUUCUAAAGAGAUUAUCAUGAGUUUCUUUAUUUCUUUCGGUUAUACUGCCCUUUGGAUGUUUUUAUUUUUAAGCAUGAACUAAUUUUCUAAAUACCUAAGAGAGAUGAAUCCUAUGGUAGAUUGUGGCACCCCAAACCCAAUCGGGAUAGACCGGCCCGAAUUCGAAGCAUUACACUAGCCACCUAAGUGACUCUCCAGCUAACGACCACCCAAGACACACCCUGACCUUAUAACACCUCAAUCUUGUUUAAUUAUUAGUUAUUUAUUAUUGCAUAAAUAAAUUAUGAGCCAAUUUUAAACUUUUCCUAUGUAAUUUAACCUAAGGGCAAUUUUGUCAUUUUACCACCUAUUGUAAAACUAACUCGAUUUUAGAAGUUUUUACCAACCUUAUUUUAGUCAAAUUAUACAAGCCUAAAUUUUUUAGCUUAAUUUGAGUUUGUUUACUAUGUCUAAUUCAAGUUUUAUUAUUAAGGACUAAAUUGUAACUUAAACAAAUUAGAAUAUCAAUUUAAAGAGAAAAAAUUCAAAACCCAAAAACCCACACGGGCAUGUGGGUAAGUGACACGGGCGUGUGGAGACUGGAGCUAUCACACACGGGUGAGUGGGAUUGAAAAAUAUGAAAUAAAUUAAUCCACUUAAUUUUCCAACAACCAUGCUAUACUACCAAACCAAAUAACGCUUGAAGCUUUGAAUAGGGGUGAAUCUUAAAAAAAUUAAAAGAAUUAGAAUUAAAUUAUAAAAUUUGAGAAGUUAUCAUGUAUUAAUUUAUAAUUUUCUAAAGGGUCUUAAUAGAAUUUUUUUUUUCCCAUUUUGGUUGGGCCAAUACCCCUACCUCUUUAAAUUUGCUUCAAUCCUAAACCCAAUAUUCGAUUUGUUGUGGAAGUUUGAUGCAUAAAAUUUCUUUUUUUAGAGGUUUAAAUUAUAUAUUAUUGAAAGUUUAAAAUAAAUUUGUAUUUUUUAUUAACAAAAUAUAAAACAAAAAAACAUUUUUAGACAAACCAAGGAACCUUUGGGAUCAUACGGAUGAUUUGGUGAUGUUAAUGGUUAUUUUGGUGGAGACAAGCCAAGAAAAGAAACAAAUGAUUCAUUAUAUACAAUAUAAUUAUCAAAAUUCAAGCCAUAUAUUGUCUGUUUCAUCCAUAAAAAUUUCAUGGGAGGUCCAAAGGUAAUUAAAUGACUUGUAGGCUUGCUGAAUUUCUUUGAAAGGCCCAAAGGCAAUUUAACACUCACAAAAUAAUCUCUAAAUACUGUAAAGACAAAUCAAAUCCACAGCAGCAUUAGAGUUGAUUAAGCUAAGCAUUGGCAAAUAUUACUUUGAUUUUGCAUGCAAUAUCGGCAAAACCCCCCUCUUACAUUAGAAAAAACAACAUAAUCCAUGUAACAUUGAUAGCCCAAUACAAAUUUCAUCAAGAAAAAAGUCUCUUUGUUUUGUAGAACAUGAUAGUAAAGAUGUGGAGUUUCAUUCUUCUUAUUGGCCUCCUUUAGUUUUCCUUGAUCAACAACCACUAGCCAAAAACACAAUUAGAUUAGAUUAUGAAUGAUACUUUCAACUAUGACAAUAUUAAAUACAAAACACUCCAAAUAACUCUAAAUAAAUGGAAAGCAGCAAAUUACCUGACGAGGCAAGCUAGCUUAAUUAAGACCAUUGUAUUAUACUUGUCUCUGAAUUGAAAAAUUUAGAAGAAAAUAGAGAAAAAGACUUAGAAAAUACUUGAAAACAGAUAAAACUUAUAUGUCAUUUAAAAUAAAAAAAAAUUAUUUAAGCUGUUUAAAAUUUUUAAGAUUUUUAAAAUUUUAAAAUGAUAAAGGUAAAUUGUACUUUGGCACCCCUAGAAAUGAUAAAACUUUGAUUUAAUCCUUUAAAAAUUAUAAAAAUAUAGGCUAUUAAAAUGAUGAAAUUAUAUUUUUACUAUAGUAAAAAUUACAAUUUAAUUUCACCCCCUAAAAAGAUUUUCUGGCUUCGCCCCUAAUAAAAUAUUUGGCAAAAGAUUAAAAUAAAAUUAUACCGUAAUUGAAAAAAGAAACUAAAAAAAUCCAAUCUAACAAAGAAAAUAACUUGAUGUCCAAAAGCUACCAUAAAUCGUAAUUCAUGGGAAGGCUUGUUGCUCAUUUUAUUGGUUUCCAUUUUGAUUUUGCAAAAGAAGUUUGAAUUUUGACGAAUACCGACAUAUUAUAUAUAUGACUAAAAUUCCAGAAUAGGUUAAAAAUGUUGAAUUAAAGAUGAAAUUAAGUGUGAAUUAAUAACCACAAGUGUACUCAUUACUCACCAUCUCUGUUAAAAAUGUUGGAUGUUGUUUAGCAACCUUUGUUUGAUUUUCUUCAGCUCAACCACAACAUCUUUCAUAUCUUUUCUUUCUUCUGGUAACUCAGCUGAACAAUUCAAAGCCAACUCCAUGAUAGAUGAAAUACAAUUUGCUUUAACAACAAUGUACUCAUCCUCUCUUCUUAGUAAAUCAACAUCUGCAAUUUCUAUCGCUCCUUUAGGCAAUGAACUUUCCAUCCAAUGCCUUAUAGUCUCUUCUUCAACAAAAACAUUAUCAGAUGGCUUUUUCUUUGUGAAAGUUUCUAUAAGGACGAUCCCAUAACUAUAGACGUCAGAUUUUAUAGAAACAAUUCCUGCUGAUCCAAAUUCUGCAUUUCAAGUAUAAUUAGAACAUCAUUCAUCCUCAAUUAUUUCUAAAAUGCUUAUUCUAAUAUCUAUCCAUAUACACAUGAAACAAAAAUAUAAAAUUCAAAUUAGGAAAAUAAUCAUACAAAAAUAAAAAAGAAUUCACCUGGUGCCAUAUACCCGAUAGUUGCAAGAGUCAUGGUUUGCUUCAUUACUUCACCUUCUCCCAACAAUUUGGCAACGCCAAAAUCUCCAACAUGUGCAACCAUGUCUUCAUCUAGUAAAAUAUUGCUUGGCUUUAUGUCACAAUGAAUUAUAGGUGUUGGAUGUCCAUUGUGGAGGUGUUCUAUAGCUAACGCAACAUCUAUCAUUAUGUCGACCCUUUGUAUGAUAUCAAGGAAACAAUUUUCAGAAUGUAACCAUUUCUCAAGGUUUCCAUUAGACAUGUAAUCAAGCACCAAGGCUUUGAAGUCAACACUUGAGCAGCAAGUAAUGACCUUCACAAUAUUACGAUGAACUAUAUUAAGCAUAGCAUCACAUUCAAUGUCAAAACUCCUAAAUGCUCCCUCUGUUUGCAAAUUGAAAACUUUUAUUGCAACUUCCAUUCCAUCUGAAAGCCUCCCUUUAUAUACAUAUCCAAAACUCCCUGAACCAAGCAUAUUGCUUUCCUCAAAUCCAUUAGUUGCUCGUGAAAGUUCAGCAUGUGAAAUUCUUCUCGGUGUUUUCAAAGACAACAAAUCAUCUUUAAUUGAUAGAGUUGUACUCCUUCUUUGGCAUCUUCUAUACAUAAUAGUUAAGACUAUUAGUACUACGACAAUGCCAAUUGUUGGUAAACCAUACCUAAAAGCAUGCAAUAUAAUCAUUUGGGAGUUUUUGUGGAUGUCGUUUUUGCAAGGUGGGACUUGCAAUCUAGGUGGACCACAAAGUGCAUAAUUCUUCAUGAAUGAUGUGCUAGAAAAGUUUGAAAAACAUCCUUUGCUGGGAAUUUCCCCUUCAAGUCUAUUGAAAGACACAUUAAAAUACCUUAGAUAUAUAAGUUUUUCCAAAGAUUUGGGAAUGACUCCAGAGAGAUUGUUAUUGCAUAAAUCCAAGAAUUCCAAACUAAUCAAUCCAGCAAAUGAUUCAGGGAUAUGACCAUGUAGUAUAUUAUUUGAUAAAUCUAAUGAAACCAAAGUUAUAAGACCCCCAAAUGUGGAUAAGAUAUCGCCCGUGAGAAGAUUCUUUGAUAAAUUUAGUUUCAGUAGACUCCUCAAAUUUCCAACAUCAAUAGCAUGUGAACUGUGAAGAUGGUUUGAUGAUAAAUCUAUUUCUAAGAUAUCUUUAAGAUUCCACAAAGUUGAGGGUAUUGUAGAACUCAAUCUGUUGGAAGCAAAGUAAAGAUAUCCCAAAGAAGUAAUAUUACCCAAACAAGAGGGUAUGGAUCCAUGCAGCUUAUUCAACCCUAAAAAAAAGUUGUAUAAUCUCUCCAAAUCACAAAGGCUUUCUGAGAUGGGCCCUCCUAAUUUAUUAGAGGAAAGACCUAGACUUUGGAGAUUCCGCAGUCCUCCUAUUGAUGUUGGAAUGAAUCCACUUAAUUUAUUAAAGCCAAGUUCUAAAACCACCAUGUUGCUUAAGUUACCUAUUUCCAUAGGAAUAAUGCCUUGAAGCUCACAAUUAGAGGCAUAAAAGUAUUGAAGGGAUUUUGAAAGGUUCCCAAUAUAAGUAGGAAGAACGUCACUCAAUGGAUUUCCUGAAACAUCUAUUGCGGUCAAAUUCCUACAAUUCGUCAAAGAAGAAAGAAAGCUCCACUCAUGAUCAGUAGCAGAUCCUGUGAUCAAAUUAUUGUCAUUGAUUUUGAGCACUUCAAGGUGUUUUAAGUUGCCAAGCAUUUUAGGGAUUGGGCCAGAGAAUAAGUUAUGUGACAAUUCUAGUUGCUUAAGCAUGGAAGCAUUGGAGAUAGAGUUGGGAAUGUUUCCGCUAAGUUUAUUUCUCCACAAUAAAAGAAUCUCAAGCUUUGGAGCAUUGGUGAUGGGUGGUAAAUUACCUGUAAAAUUGCAUCUUUUAGUAUACAUAUUCAUUGAAUACCAAAUUCACAAAAUAUAUAAGACAUUAAAAUAAAAACUGUAAAACUUUAAAUCAAUUAAGAAUAAAAUUUUGGCAUGGAAAAAUGUGAUGAAAUCAAUUAGAAAGUUGAGACAUAAUAAGAAGUUUUGAGUAGUAAUUAGUAAAACAUAUAAUACAUUAAUAAUUUUUAAAAUAUUGUAAAACUUGAAAUAAAAUAAAAAUAAAAGUUUGGCAUGAGAAUGUGGCAUCUAAUCAAUCUUAAAAAUGAGACUCACAUUGAAUAAUAAUUAGUUAUGAUUUGGGAAACAAAAAUGUUAAAGCCAUUGUUUUUAAUGUAAGCUGGUAUGACUUUUAUCUAUUGGGUUAAUUAUUUAUUUUUAUUAAAUUAUAGUGUAAAAUUUAAAUAUUAUUAUUUGCUUAAAUUUUUUGUAUUUUUCGUAUAUUUAAAAUUUAAUCUUUAUAUUUUUAUUUUCUGUGAUUUAGUCCCUCUACUUUUUGAAUUGAAAAUUUUAGGUUUAUUUAUUAACACCGUUAAAAAGUUUUUGUGUUAGUAUGGCAUUUUGAAAACUAAAAUAAACUUGAUAUCUAUGUUUUUAAUUAUUCCAAAUAUUGUUUUACUAUUUCAAGAUAAAUUAUUUGUGUCUAGACCAAUAUCUUAAGAACUAUUGUUGCAUAUUUAAUUAUUCUAAAGAAUUGUCGAUUGAAUCUUAGCUUGAUUGGCAUGUGCAUUGUUGCCAAUGUAGGAGAAUGUGGGUUCAAGCAUGCAUGCUGAAAUGCAUUAUCCUCCUAUUUAUGAAUUGGUAAAGUACUAAAUUUUGAUAUAUUUUAAAAUAUUAAAAAUUUAUUAAAAUAUUUUUUUAUAAAAAUUGAUUGUACCACAAUAUACAAUUUUAAUAUCAAAUUUUUAAUUUUUUUAAAAAAUAUUAGCGAAUAUGUACUUUAUUUCAAGUUACACAAUUUUUACUAGUUUUUAAAUUUUUUUAAUUUUUAUCGUCUUUUAUAAUUUCUAAUAAUUUUUUAUAAUUUUUUACAAUAUUUAACAAUUUCUAAAAUUUUUUAAUAAUUUUAUUAUUUAUUACAAAUUUAAAAAUUAACAAAUUUUUAAUCUUUAAAACAAUUAUAUAUUUAUAAUGUAGUUAUUUUUUUUAUAAUUUUAUUUGAAAUUUUAAAGAUUUUUUUGGUUUGUUUUCUAGAUUAUGAUGCCAUCAUAAUGUCAUCAUAUGCCACAUGGCAAUUUAUGAUUAGUUGGAUAUCUCAAUCUAUUUUUUUAACGUCCAAUGGACUAAGCCAAGAACACCUGACAAUGUUAGAGACUACACUACGAAUGUUUGAUAAUAUUACGUAUUAAAGUGGACAAAAAAAAUUAAGGACCAAAGUUAUAAAAAAAAAAAAAAAACAGCAAUCGGCUGCAGGGAAUAAACUGUGCAUUAAGCCAUUAAAAAUAUAUCUAUAAUAUAUAUAAAUGCAUGGAUUUUGAGAAACAUUUGAACUGAUAAUUACAUAGUCUUUGAUGUUUACUAUAUUAUUGAAUUUGUUAUUUUAAAUAUUUUUUUAUUACUUUUAAGAUUUAUCAUAUGUAUGGAUAAGAAUUUUGGUUUUACUAAAAUAUUUGGUUAAAUAAAUUCAUUUAAUAAGAAAAUUUAGCAUCCUUAUAAAUAACAAUUUUGAUUCUAUUAAAAAUUAUUUUCAAAAAUAUAUAAUAAAAAUUUAAAAUUUAUAUUGAAUUACUUUAUACUUAAAUUAUUAUUAGAAACUUUAUCAUACACAUACGUGUAUGAGAACCAUGUAUUUAGAACAUAAAUUUGUUUUUUAAAGUAACUUAUGAUAAAUAAUGAAAUGUAUAAUUUGAAACUAUUUAAUAAUAACACAUGUCAUAUCUACCAUAUUAAAAUAAAAAUAGAUUAAAUUGUAAGUAAAACAUAAUUUAAACAUAUGAAUACAUCAAAUUAAGAAUACUAAAUGAAUACAGUUAUUUAUGAUGAUGUUGUUGCCAAUUCUUAAGUUGGUGCCGAGUUAAUUUGUGACAUCAUAAAUUUAGGUGAUAAAUUUAAGGUUUUAUGUAUUGAUGUGGAUUCAAAUAUCACCAUAAUUUUUUUAAAUAAAAAACUAAAAUACCCUCAAAUAAUAUAACUUAUAUUAAAUACGAAAGGGUAUUUUUGUAAUUUCUCUAACCGAGUUGGUGCCCGGUUGACUCAUGACACCAACUCAAUCAAAAGCUUCAAUAAUAAUAUAGAUAUUCACGGUAAAAAAAAUUACUUUAGUUCCAAAUAAUUAUAUAACAAGUAAAUUUAUAAUUGACGAAUAAAUUUAUAAAUAAUAUAUUUAUAUGAUCUAAUAUAUUAUAUUUAUAUUAAUUAUAUAUCAUCUACAAACUUUGAAGAUUAAUUUAUUAAGUAUCAAGAAAAGAAAAAAUGAAAUUUAAUUAACACUAAAUCAAUUUUUAGAUUUUGUACAGAUGAUUUAAUGAUGAUAAAAAAAAUAUUAGCACUAUUUUCGAAUUAACAAAAAAUUAGUGAUAUAUUUUAAUUAUAUUUAUUAUUUAUUUUUUAAUAAUUUUUUUAAUUAUAUGAAGUAAAAUUAUAUUGUAUACUAAAAAUGGUACAUAUACUUUAAUUAUACUUGAAAAUUUAUUAUAUAAAUUAAUAUAUUUUAAUUAUAUUUAACCAUUUGAAUAACAAAAUAAAAAAAAACUAAUUAGAAUAAUUUAUUUUUUAAAGUCUAAUGGAAAUUAAAAAAUUAAAAAUAAAGCAGUUCAUAUAAAACUUAUUGUUUAUUAUCAGAUUAAAAUGAUAAAAGUAUAUGACCAAAAUAAAAGAAACAAAUUCAACUCAAUGUUUUUGGAGUUUGGAAAAAAUUAAAGUUAAAAACAUACCUUCUAAUUUGUUGUUAAAUAGAUCUAUUUCUUCGAGCGUAGUCGAAUUAAAAAUACUUGAUGGAAUCUGACCUGCACACAUAGUCGAAAAUUGAAGUAAAAAACAUACCUUCUAAACUGUUCAACUAAAAAUACUUUAAGCAUAUUUUUUAGUAAACUGUGCAACAGGUGAUAUGAGAAUCUAUGUAUAUAAAUGUAUAUGUAUAUAUAUCGUUGUUUCAUUUUGUAAAAUAAAUAUAUUUUCCACAUUGGUUUCUUUUCUUCUACAGACAAAGGAUUUCUAAUGAUUCUUUUUUAUUUUUACUUAUAAAAUAGGUUAGUUUCUGCAAUAAUAAAAACAAUUUCUAAUGAUUAUUGUUGUUACCAGAUAACUAAUUUUCAUUCAAGUAAAGCCCUUCAAGCUUGGGAAAAUGUUGACACAUAUCAUUAGGCAAACUACCUGAUAGGCUAUUGUUGGAGAGAUCAAUGGUCUUCAGAGAAGAAAUGUUCGAGAUCGAAGUUGGAAUCUGACCUGUAAGGCCUUUAAUUUCUUUAAUAUUAAGCAUUUCCAAACUAAGAAGAUUACCAAUUUCCUUAGGAAUUUGACCUGCAGACAGUCAAAAAAUCAAUGUUUUUCAGCAUAUGUUUUUCAUCAAAUGAAAUAAAAAGUUCUUCCUUUUGUUAUCUAUUACAAAUCAAACUCUUUUAUAAAAAAAAAACUUUAAAUUCAAGAAAUCAAGGAAAUUGAUUACCUUCUAGAUUAUUAAACCCUAAAUAUAACUUCUGGAGUCGUGUUAGAUUUCCAAUACUUCUUGGAAUGAUACCCAUAAAUUGAUUAUAGGACAACGACAAAAUUUGAAGGUUGUUGCAUUUGCCCAUGCCAAAUGGAAUGUUACCAGAUAAUUCAUUCAAACUCAAGUAAAGCCCUUCAAGCUUGGGAAGAUGUUGACACAUAUCAUUAGGCAAACUACCUAAUAGGCUAUUGCUGGAGAGAUCAAUAAUCUUCAGAGAAGAAAUCUUGAAGAUGGAAGAUGGAACCUGACCAGAUAAUUGAUUGAAUCCCAAGUUCAAGAUCUCUAGAUUAGACAUGUUAACAAGUGUUUCAGGGAUUGUGCCUGUAAAGUUAUUGUUUUUCAUUUUCAGCCUUCGAACUCUUUGUAAGUUCCCAAGCCAUGAUGGAAUUUCCCCAUUCAGACGGCUGUAGCUUAAUUGAAGGAUCCUCAAACGAUGCAAUUGGCCCAAUUCUUUAGGGAGAUGGCCAUAGAAAUGGUUGCUACUCAAGUCGAGAGAGAGUAGAAAUGAAAGAUUUCCAAGGUGUGGAGGGAUAGUACCCCUAAGAUUCAUGCUUGUAAGAUUCAAAGCUAUAACUCUUUUAAGAAGGAUGCCACAAGAAACACCAAUCCAAUUGCAAACAGAGGUUGAGACUGUCCAAUUGUUUGGCAAGACAUUUUGAGGACCGACGAUGCGAUCCUUAAACUCGAGAAGUGCAAACUGAUCGGAGUUUAGAUUCCUGACUGUCAUAGCCAAGCAAAGUACGAAACAUGGUAUGAAUAAAGCUAAAAGAAGAUGAAAGCAAGUGUUGUAGUUCAUGAUUGCAAGACGGAAUAAGCCAAGAAAAUAAAAAAAAGUAGGAAAAGGGAAGUUGAGUUGAUAAAAUAGUUUGGAUGAUGAAGAAAAGCCCUGAGAGCAUGCUUUAAUAUGUUUCAAUCAUCGCACACUUGAUAAACUUGAUAAAUUUAAGACUACCCUAAAAAUUAAAAAGGAAAGCAAAGUUUUGAAGAAAUUUCAAAAUAAAUGUCAAGUCUUCUUCUUUUAAAAAUACGUACAAAGAAGCGAAUUUUCAAAAUUUCUACUAAAUUUUCUUCACAUUACUCCACAUAAUCCAUUAAAAAAACUUCAAAAAAAAAUAUUUUAUUAAUUACUAUAUAUUCUUUUAUUUUCAGAAUAAUAAUUGUUUAAAAUAUGCUAUUAGUCCCUGUAAUUUUAAAGUUAAAAAAAAUCCAAUCCUCCUAUUUUUCUAAUUUAAAAAUUCUAGUCCAAUCAUUUUUAAUUCCAUUAAAAAAUUUCACCUUAAUAGGUUUUUUGAUUAUCAAUCGUAUGCAACAUUAUAUGAAGGCAGUCUAAUCAGCAUAUAUCCAAGUUUAUAGAUUUUAAUAGAAAAUACUUACAAUCCUAAUGGUAGGACUAAGUUUUUUAAACUAGAAAAGUAAGAAGACUUAAUUUUUAACUUUUUAAGUACAAGGAUUAAAUUUUAAAUGUUGUCAAAGUACAAGGAUUAAAUUUUAAAUGUUGUCAAAGUACAAGCACUAACAAAAUAUUUUGAUCUAAUAAAUGUAAAUGAACUUUUUAAACAAAAUAAGGUUGAAAUAAUCUAUUUGUCGUUGUAUUUUGAUAAAAUUUGAGAUUUAGUCUUUAUACCUAAAAGGUUAAAAAUUAAGUCUUCUUGUUUUUAUUUAAAAAUCUUAGUCCUAUCGUUAAAUUUUUUUGUCAAAAUUUGUCAACUUUACAUAUUAAUUAGGUUUCCCUUGUAGGUCGUGGUAUAUGACUAACACAAAAUAAGCAAUUAAGUUGACAAAUUUUGACAAAAAAUAUCAAAGAUGAUAAUAAUUGGAUUAAAAUUUUUAAAUUGAAUUUAUAACCUUUAAUGUAUAAGGAAUGGAUAUCAAAUUUUUAUAGGAAUAAAGGGACUAACAACAUAUUUUAACCACAAAAUAAUAUGGGUGAUUAGAAUGAAUCUAAAAUUUUAUAGAAAUAAAAGAGACUAACAACAUAUUGAUAACUUUGAAAUCUCCUUCGAUAAUCCUUUUUCUACGUAGAAAAAGAAAAUUAAUUAGCAUCUAAAGUGUCAAUUAAUGAAACCUUCAAGAGAAAAUGUGAAAUUGAUUUACCAAACAAUAAUAUUCUAACUUAUAAUAUAUUUAAUUACAUUUAGUAAUUUGUCAAUCAAAACUUAAUUAACAUCCAUCAAUACUUUAUAUAUAAAAAACGCAAGCAUAAAUUACAGUUUAAAGUAAUUGGGAUCUCGAGUGCAACAAAUUCCUCCUUUUAUUAUUAAAUGUUUUAUUUUAGUUACUCUAAUCAAAACUUAAUUAACAUCCAUCAAUACUUCAUACAUAAAAAACGCAAGCAUAAAUGACCAUUUAACUCAUAUUUAACUUUGCAAGUAAACUUCACUAAUUAUAGAGUUAUAGUGUAAACUUUGAAAAUAUAAGUAAAUUUACCAUUUAACUCAGACUUAACUUUGCAAGUAAACUUAAAAUUUUAUUUAAUUUUGUCACUAAAUUUGAUUUGUUCAAUAUAGAUUUUGGUGACUUAAAACAAAAUUAAUAAAAAAUUAUUCUUUCGGAUAUCUUUUUAAUGUUUAAUAAUAAGUUAAUUUAUAAAAUAUACUUUCAUUGGGCACAGGCCUCCAAGCCGGUGAACCACUGAUCAAAUUAAUUUGGAGAUAUCUUUUUUCUGAAUAAAGUGAAUUUACCAGUUUUGUUUUCUUUUAAAAAUAUUUUUAAUAUUUUUGUGGAUAUCAAGAGAUACCAAAAAUUAUUUCUCUAAAAAAUUUUAUUUGACUCGAAAAGUUAGUGUUUUAUUUCAAGGGGUCAUAAUUAAUCAUUAGAUUUCUCAAUUUUAAAUUUUGAAUUUUUUCACAAUUGCGUAAUUAAUAAGUUCCAAUUUUGAGUGUUGUGGGGCUAGUAAAAUCUUCCUUACACAUAACCGACUCUUGAACCUACUCUUUUCUUUAGAAUUCAAUGCAGACCUCAAAUUUAUCUUUUGAAAAGAAUUUUAAAAUCUCUGUAUAAAAGGUGUUUCUUUUUGUUACCGAUCACAUUUAACAAAAAUUUAAAAAUUAUUAAAAAAUAAUUUCUUUUUGAAAUUUAAAAUGAUCUAAAAACAUAUUUUUAAUUGCUUUGGACCAUCUAUUGCUGAUUUCCUUAUUAUAUUAAGUGUUUGCAAUCACUCUUAAUAUAUUGUGCUUGAGUUGUGACAAAGCCGAUCGUCAACGUGCCAUAAUGAUCAAUUGACGCUGAAACUGAAGUUUUUGUUAUAUUGAUAGAGCUUGUCCUUCAACGCAUACAACGUGUUUGUUAUUUUUCUCCCUUCAAAUUGUAUGAUCUUAUUCAUUAAAUGAAUUAAUGAAUAUCCCUUUUAAAAAGAUAUAUUUUUAAAAAUUAAAUACUUCAUAAAAUAUUUAAAACCAUUUAAAAAUUUGUUAGCCUUAAAACAAUCAACAAAAUAUAUUUUUCUCUAAAAAAUCAAUAAAAAUAUGUUUGAAAUUUUAUAUGAAAUUUAAAAUUUUUUAACAAUAAUAUAUUUUAAAAUUAUAGUAACGCUACAAAAUAUAUAUAUUUACUAAUUAUAUACACCUUUUUUAUAUUUUUUCCUAACAUAUCAUUAUUUUCAACAUUAUCGUAAUCCUGUUUUUAUAAUUCCCUUGUCAUACAUCCUUUUUCUACUUAGAAUUUCAAAAGAAAAUGUGAAUUAAUGUAGACGUGAGAAGACUUCAAGGUAAGUCACCCAAUGAAAGUGACCUAAACCGACUUAUGGAAGAAUCAAACAAUAAUUUUGUGUCUUGUAAUAUAUUUCUUGUAAUAUAUUUAAUUACAUUUAUUAGUUUAUCAAUCAAAACUUAAUUAGAAUCCAUCAAUAUUUCACACAUCAAAAACCCAAACAUAAAAUUCACUUCUAAAUUAUUUGGGAUAUAUUUGUAUUAUAGGAAAUGGAUUAAAUUAGUCUUUUUAUUAUAAAAUGUAUUAUUUUAAUCUUUGUAUUAGGUAUGAAUGAUAUCUCCUAGAUUGAACCCAAAGCUAUUCUUGAAAGACUGAAAUUAGGAUUUAGAUGUGUUGAGAUGGAAAGUGACAACACAAUGUUGAUUGAAACUAUUUGUAAUGGGUUGGCUACAAUAAGUAGUGCUGUCGAAAUAAGACAGAUUCACGAUUAGUCUUCCAAAAAUUGGGAAGUCAAAUUUCGACAUAUUUAGCGGAAUGCCAAUAAAAUUGUUGAUUGCUUAGCUAAGGCAAAUGGAGGGGUAAUUGAGCAGCUGGUUAUCUUGGAAGAUCCUCCGCAUUAUGUGAGAUGCUAGCUUGAAGAAGAUAUUAACAGUCACUGGUCUGAUGAUAAUUUUCAUUUGGACUGAUGAGCGCUUAAUUUUCUAAGCUUAUGGUCAACAAAAAAAAAUUAAAUACGUCUAAAUUGUAAUAGAGUUAACAUUUAGUGUUUAAAAAAUAUCUUAAAAUUUAUUUUUUCCAAUUGCAGUUCAAUUCCACAAAUAUCGACGAUGAACCCGAACAUAAAAAUUACAAAAAAAAACACAUCUAUUAUCAAACCAACAAUCCAUGUCUAAACUUAAAUUAACAAAAUUCACCACGCAACCUGGUACACUAUUUUAUAUAUAUAUAUAUACUAGAUUUAUUCUAGAUGCACAUGUUUUAUUAUAUUUAAAAAUUAAAAUAUAUGGUUGACUAAGUUUUAGUUGAAUUAGUAUUUGUUAAAAAUAUAAUGUUGGUAAUGACAAUAUAUAGCAAAGAAAAUAGAAAUAGAAAAAUAAAGAACACACAUAUUUUACGUGGAAACCCUUUCGGGAAAAAACCACAGGCAAAAGAGAAGAAAAUUCACUAUGUCGAAUUCAAAUCAAUUACAAGAGGAGUAGACUAUGCCUAUUUAUAGGCUUGGAAACCUUAUUCUAAUAGGAGUGAAACUCUUUAUUCUAAUAAUAUCAAAUAGAUGGAGUUUAAUAAGGUUUAAAAAACCUUAUUCUAAAAUAAAAUAAAAGAAGUAUAAUUCUAUAGGGAUUUUACUUUUAUUUUAUUUUACCAUAGUAUUUAAUUUAAAUAAGGAUUUGGGUCACUUAAUUCUAACAAUCUCAACCUUGACACGAAUUCUUAAUGAACAAGUUCUUCAUCGCGAACUCUCAACGAACAAGUUUCUCCACCUCUUCCAUAAAACCCCUUAAGGGUUUAUUUUCAACAAUGAACACCAACCAAGUCUAAGCAGUGCUCAAACUUGGUUAUAGGAAGUGACUUAGUCAUCAUAUCUACAGGAUUUUCAUGAGUACUAAUUUUGCUCACAACAAUAUCACCACGAGCAAUAAUAUCACGAACAAAAUGAUACCGAACAUCAAUGUGUUUUGUUCUCUCAUGAAACAUUUGAUCUUUUGUAAGGAAGAUGGCACUUUGACUGUCACAAAAUACUGUAUUAAUUUGAAGGUCUUCAUUGAGUUCACUAAAGAGUCCGUUCAACCAAAUAGCUUCUUUGCAAGCCUCAGUAAUCGCCAUGUGCUCAGCUUCAGUGGUAGACAAAGCGACUGUAGUUUGCAAAGUGGCUUUCCAACUGAUUGCACAACCUCCGAUUGUAAAGACAGAACCUGUGAGAGAUCUUCUUCUAUCCAGGUCUCCAGCAAAAUCAGCAUCAACAUACCCAAUGACUCCAUCUCUAGUUCUUCCAAACUGUAAGCAAACAUCGGUAGUACCUCGUAAGUAUCUUAAAACCCACUGAACUACUUUCCAAUGUCUUUUAUCGAGAUUCGCCAUGUAUCUACUAACUGCACUAACUACAUAUGAUAAAUCUAGAUGUGAACAAACCAUGGCAUACAUGAGAGAUCCUCCUGCACUAGAGUAUGGAACAUGUGACAUGUACUCAAUCUCAUCAUUUGAUUGUGGAGACAAAGCUGAUGAUAGUCUGAAAUGGGCUACUAAAAGAGUACUAACAGGCUUAGCAUUCUGCAUAUUGAAUCUAGAAAGAACUUUCUCAAUGUACCCUUUCUGACUUAGGUACAAUUUACUUGCUUUUCUAUCCCUGAGAAUCUCCAUACCAAGUAUCUUCUUUGCUGGUCCCAAGUCUUUCAUCUCAAAUUCUUCACUUAGUUGGGCUUUGACCUUUCUUAUCUCUCAUUUAUCUUUCGCUGCUAUCAAUAUGUCAUCAACAUAAAUGAGUAGAUACACAAAAGAACCAUCAUUGUUUUUCUUAAAGUAAACACAACUGUCAAAGCUACUUCUUUUAAAAUCAUGAGAAGUCAUAAAGGAAUCAAACCUCUUAUACCACUGUCUUGGUGACUGUUUCAAACCGUAAAGAGACUUUUUUAGCAAGCAAACAUAGUCCUCUUUUUCUGAGACUGUAAAACCCUCUGGUUGUUGCAUGUAAAUAUCCUCCUCAAGUUCUCCAUGCAAAAAUGUAGUUUUUACAUCUAACUACUCAAGCUCCAAAUCAUGCAUGGCCACAAUACCAAGCAAAGCUCGAAUCGAACUAUGCUUCACAACUGGAGAGAACACAUCUGUGAAGUCCACUCCUGGAAUUUGACUGUAACUAUUUGCAACAAGCCUUGCUUUAUAUUUGGGUUCUUCAACUCUUGGAGUCCCCUCUUUCUUUUUAAACACCCAUUUACAACGAACAAUCUUUUUAACUUUGGGAAGUUUCACAAGAUCCCAUGUUUUGUUUUUGUGGAGUGAUUCUAUCUCCUCUUGCAUAGCAAACAUCCACUUUUCUGAAUCUUCACAACUAAUCGCCUUAGAAUAAUUAGAUGGCUCUUGGUUUGCAUCUAUAUCUUCAGCCACAUUUAAAGCAUAAGCAACUAGAUCAGCCUCAACAUACUUCUUUGGAGGUUUAAUUUCUCUUCUAGUUCUAUUUUUGGCGAUAGAGUAUUAUGGUGAAGAAGCAACUCUAUUUUGAAUUUUCGUACUGGCUUUAGUAGUCGACUCUGUUGUAGAUUCUAGAUCAAUCUGAUGCUCCACCUGCUUUAGAUUUUCUUUAUUGGAAGUCUUUAAGAGAUAACUUAGGUAGCAUAGCAGUUUCAUCUAAAACAUCUCUGCUAAUCACAACUUUUCUAUUUUCAGGACACCAUAACUUAUACCCUUUUACACCAGCUUUAUAACCAAGAAAAACACAUUUAGUAGAACUCGGUUCCAAUUUUCCAUUAUCAACAUGAGCAUACGCAGGACAACCAAAGAUUUUUAAAUUAGAAUAGUCAGCAAGAUUACCAGACCAUACUCUUGUGGAGUCUUUUUCUCAAUGGCAACGGAUGGAGAUCGGUUGAUCAAAAAACAUACAGUAGAGGCUGCUUCUGCCCCAAAAUGACUUUGAUAAGUUGGCAUUUGACAACAUAUAUCAAACCUUCUCCAUGAUCAUUUUGUUUAAUUUUUCUGCAAUGCCGUUUUUCUAUGGAGUAUGACGAACUGUCAAGUGUCUCACGAUCCCUUCUGACUUGCACAGUUUAUUAAAUUCAUCAGAACAGAACUCUAAGUCAUUGUCUGUGCAGAGGCAUUUUAGUUGCUUUCCUAUCUAUUUUUCAAUCAUGGUUUUUCAAGACUUAAAUGAGGAAAACACAUCACUUUUCCGCUUUAGGAAGAAUGCCUACACUUUUCUAGAAAAAUCAUCAAUUAAAGUUAGCAUAAGUAGCUCCACCUCUCGAAGGCACUCUGGAUGGCCCCCACAGAUCAGAAUGAAUAUACUCUAACGUUCCCUUCAUGUUAUGGAUUCCUCUGGUGAAUCAGACUCUCUUUUGCUUCCCAAAAAUGCAGUGCUUACAGAACUUCAGUUUGCAAAUUUCUUGCCCAUUAAGAAGUCCUCUUUUGCUCAAUUCUGCCAUGCCAUUCUCACUCAUAUGCCCUAGGCGCAUAUGCCAAAGUUUAGUAAUAUCAUCAUCUGACAAGGAAGAGGAUGAGACAGUUGCAUCACCAGUAACAGUAGAACCCUGCAAAACAUAUAACUUGGCAGUCUUUCUCUGCCCUUUCAUCACAAUGAGGGAACCUUUGGAAAUCUUCAAAACCCCACUUUCAACUGUGUAUUUGUACCCUUUUGAAUCAAGAGUACUCAACGAAAUUUAAUUUAUUUUUAAUUUUAGAACAUGUCGUACGUCAGUGAGUGUUCUGACAACUCCAUCAAACAUCUUAACUCUGAUUGUUCCAACACCUGCAAUUCUACAUGAAGCAUUAUUUCCCAUCAACACAAUACCUUCAGACACUAUUUCGUAAGUUGUAAACCAAUCCCGAUUGGGACUCAUGUGGAAGGUGCAACCCGAAUCAAGGAUCCACUCCUCGUCACUUUGGAAUUGUCGAUUGAAGUGACUAGAAGUUCACCAUCGCUGUAAUCUUCUACAACAUCAGCUUUACCAGAAUUUUCUAGUUGUUUUCCAUUUUGAUUCGCAGCCUCCCUUUUGAUCUUGUUCUGUAGCUUAUAGCACUCAGUUUUAAUGUGCCAUUUCUUCUUGCAAAAGUUACAAGUUUUACCUCUGUUUGAAGACUACUUUUAGAUUUACUGCGAGGAUUCCGUUCCUGUGUCCUUCCAUGAUCAUCAUCAGCAUUCCGAUCUUGUCUCCCAUGAACAAUAAGACCCUCUCCCCGAGAGUCGAUUUUAAGCACAAGAUGCUUCAUCUUAUCAUACGAGGUUAAAGAAUCAUAAACCUCAUCAACUGUGAGAGACUCGCGGUUAUAUAAAAUCGUAUCUCUAAAGGAUGAAUAAGAUGAGGGCAACGAACAAAGUAGAGUCAACCCUAGAUUUUCCUUAUCAUACUGAACCUCCAUGGCCUCCAAGUUUGAGAGAAUUUCUUUGAACACUAUUAAGUGUUCGUGCACAGAUGCACCUUCCUCCAAACGAUAAGCAUAAAGACGCUGCUUCAUAUGUAGCUUGAUAGUUAGAGUUUUCGACAUACAUAUCUAUUCCAACCUCUUCCAUAAUCCAGCAGCAGUCUUUUCCUUCAUCACAUCCUGCAAAAUUUUGUUAGACAAAUGCAGAUGUAACUGUGUUAAUGCCUUUCAAUCCUUGCACUUCUUCUUUUCUUUCGUCAAUGUUGAAGGCAUCUUAUCUACCCCUAGUAGGGCUUCCUCUAAGUCCAUCUGUGCAAGAACUGCUUGCAUCUUUAUCUGCCACAAUGCAAAUCUAGUAUUGCGAUCCAACAGCAGAAUUUUGUACUUCAAAGACGUUAUUACCGUGAUUGAGAUGAACAACCCAGAAGCUCUGAUACCAAUUUGUUAAAAAUAUAAUGUCGGUAAUGACAAUAUAUAGCAAAGAAAAUAGAAAUAGAAAAAUAAAGAACACACAGAUUUUACGUGGAAACCCUUUCGGGAAAAACCCACGGGCGGAGGAGAAGAAAAUUUACUAUGUCGAAUUCAAAUCAAUUACAAGAGGCGUAGACUAUGCCUAUUUAUAGGCUUGUAAACCUUAUUCUAAUAGGAGUGAAACUCCUUAUUCUAAUAAUAUCAAAUAGAUGAAGUUUAAUAAGGUUUAAAAAACCUUAUUCUAAAAUAAAAUAAAAGAAGUAUAAUUCUAUAGGGAUUUUACUUUUAUUUUAUUUUAUCACAGUAUUUAAUUUAAAUAAGGAUUUGGGUCACUUAAUUCUAAUAGUAUUGAUAUUAUUGUCAGUGUAGGAAAAUAUGAGUUUAAUCAUGCUCAAAUGUGUUUUAUCCUCCAAUUCAAGAGUUAGGAAAAGGUUAUUGAUAAUUAAAUUAUACCAACUUUUAUGAUAUUAAAAAAGGGUUUAUAAAUAAUAUAAGGAAAAGAAAAAAAAGCGAGAAACAUAUUCAUAUUGAUAUUAGACUUUUUUUUUUCUAUCACAAGUAAAAAUAUCAAAGGUGAUAAUAAUUAAAUUAAAAAAUUUAAAUUGAAAAAAUAGGGGAUUGAAUUUAUAACUAACAACAUAUUUUAACCACAUAAUAAAAGUAGUUAUGAAGAGGAUCAUGUAAAAUAAUGACCUGAAUAAUUUUAAACGUCUCAUUCUUGCAAAAAUGAAAUAAUAGAAAAGAAAUAAGUGUUGGGUGUAGUGACAAUGUACAUUAUACUUCUAAGGGGAGAUCAGGGUUUUAGGCAAGGGAAGAAUUUAAUUUAAACCUACUUUUUUUUCUCUAGAACUCAACCCAAACCUCAAAUUUAUCUUUUUAAAAGAAUUUUAAAAGAUCUAUAUAAAAGGUGAUUUUUUUUUAUCGAUUACACUUAACAAAAUUUUAAAAUUUCUUUUUUUGAAAUUUAAAGUGACCUAAAAACAUAUUUUUAAGUCCUUCAGACCAUCCUGUGCUGAUUUCUUUAUUAAUUUGAUUUGUUCAAUAUAGAUUUUGGUGACUUAAAACAAAAAUAAUAAAAAAUUAUUUUUUCAGAUAUGUUUUUAAUGUUUAAUAAUAAGUUAAUUUAUAAAAUAUACUUUCAUUGGAUACAGGCCUCCAAGGCGGUGAACCACUGAUCAAAUUAAUUUAGAGAUACCUAAAUUUGCUUUCAUCAAUUAAGAAAUUAAAAAAAAAUUGCUGAGACCUCAUGAUUAUCUUUUAUAAUUUCAGGCUUAUCACCAAAAACUAAAAAAUAAAAACGUCGACAUUAAAUUUGUUGGUAUGCAAUCAAUUUUAAGAUGGUUUUUGGAGUUAUAUAUCACUUUAGCAUGGACUUACUUUUCUACAGUUAGUCUUCUCCAACAAGUUAAAUAUUUAAAUUUUAACAACAUUGACAGGUCUUUGGGGUAGGGUCGAGCAAAACUCAAUAGAAACAGAUGAUAUAGAUUGAGUUGGCUCGGCCAAGUCGAGUCGACUUGUUCAAAUUAGUUAAAUUAGUAAAUUUUAGGGUGCAGUUAGUAUUUUUUGUUUUGAGAUGCUAAGAUUAAAAAAUUUCAGUUGUUAAAACAAAAAAAUUGUAUUAAAAAAAGGCAUAAAUUAAAUUAUUAAGUUUUUCAAGUUUCCAUUUAAUCAAAGGUUAAAAGGACUAAAUUGAAGCUUUUUAUUUUUAAGAAAGGCUGAAUGACAAAUUGCCCAAAGCCCAUGCCCCUAGCUAUACGCCCCUGGUAAAAUCAAUUUUAAAAUUAGUUAUAAUAGUUGAAGCGAAUUGAUUAUUGAGUAAUGAAAUACAUAGUUCAACAAAAAAAAUAAGUUGACAAAUUUUGACAAAAAAAUAUCAAAAAUGAAAUAAUAGAAAAGAAAGAGUAGGCAUUUUAUGAAAUUUAUAAUUCCAUGAAUAAAAUAUAAAUUUUAUGAAUGUGGACGAGCCAUUUUUUUAUAAUUUUCAGUGUUUUUCUUCUUUUUCUUACUUUUUUUAAAGUAUUUUUCUUUGUUUCCUAACCACCAUGAAAUUACUUGUCACAAUUCAUCUUUUCAAAUGAGAAACAUUUUCCACAAUUUGCCAUCACUUCAACAUACACUAACUUUUCUAUGAUUAGUCCUUGGUUUGCUUCGGGUGCAAUCUUCCAACUAGCCUUAUCCUUGGUUUUACUUUCCAACAUUUAGUGUAUCACGAGUUUUGUUUUCUUUAAAAAAAUAUUUUCGUGGAUAUUAGGAGAUAAUGAAAAUUAUUUUACUAUGAAAUUUUAAUAAAACUGGAAAAUAAGUAAUUUAUUUUAAGCGAUCACAAUUAAACAUUAGAUUCCAAUUUUUUAAUUUUUUUUUUACAAUUGCAUAAUAUUUUGAGCAUUGUAGGAAUGCCAUAACCUUCCCUACGCAUAAUAUACUCUUGAGCAUGAUGGAUCCUAGACCUUCUUUAUUCUCGUACCACAAAUUGCUUCAAGUGUGGGUUCGAACAAUCACAAAUUAAACACAAAACCAGAAAUGAUUUAUUACUUUCAAUAGCAAAGUAAUUCUCUUUCAAUAGAAACCAAUAAAAUUGUAAUUCCUAGAAAAUUAAAAUUUAUUUUUUCAAAAUAUCUUCUCUCUACUUUCUAGCAGAAUAACAAUAUGCGAAACUUAUGUCUUGUGUUAAUAGCCCUACCGGUACUAUCUAUUUAUAGGGAGAGACACGAGAAUCCUAGUUGAAUUAGUAAAACACAAAUAAUAUUUAUUUCAUAGAAACCAACAUUCUACCCUAAGUAGAUCAAGUUUGGAUGACGCAUGGAUCGAAGCUCAAUCUAGGGGAAAAAAAUAAAGGAAUUUUCUUUGUAAAGAAAAUCUGAGAUUAUACUAUUUUCGAAGUUAUAAAUAAAAUUAUACGCCAAAUUUUGAAGUCAAUUUUCAACUCAAAUGUUGUAUGUACAAAUUUCUAAUACACUUGGUGGGACAUUCUUUAACUUUUAUCUAUUCUCUCAAAACGUUAAAGUUCAAAGUUGCAUUAAACUCAAAAAAGAUAAUCAUUAGUAAACCAGCACACAAGCCUACUCAAGCUAAUCCUACAACUCGUUCCACUUCAUCAUCAAACACCAAUGUUCUUGCUUAUCCUUAUGGAAUUAAACAAAAGACAAAAGCUCUUUAAAGUUAUUUGAACAGACUUCUUUAAUGGUAAAUGAUAAUCCACUCUAUGAUGCUUCUUCGCCCAACUCAUGAUUUAAAAGAAGUUUCUACUCAUAGAUCAAGUGUAGCUCGCCAGUUAUCAUUAAGGAGAAAAAGGAGUCAAUCAAGUGAAAAUUAUAUUCCAACAUCUCCCCAGAACCAAAUUUCAUAGUGAUGAAUGUCAUGACAACUGACACUACAUUCUUAGAAGAAUAAGUAGAUUUCUAGCAAAAACGAUGGAGAGUUUUACUACAAGCAUAAAAGAAAUGGAUGAUCAAAUUGAACAUCUUAGUGGAAGUAACCAAACCUUUUCCAACGAAACUCAACAUCCUCUUCACAAAGUUGUUGGAAUCUUAAUUGUUGAAGGACUUUAAAGUGUUUCUUUAGAUCAACUCAAGGAGUUUAUUAAAAAAACCAUCAAAGAUCAAGUCAAAAGUGUUACUUUGCCUUCAUAUACAUACUCAAAGUCAUACAUCUGAAGGAUUUAUCAUUUGAAUAUGCCUGAGCAUUAUCCACCUUUAAAAUUGUAAUAGUUUGAUGGUAAAGGAAAUCCAUGUAAACAUGUCGUUCACUUCAUGGAAACUUGUGAUCGCGUCGAUGUAACACCCCACUCGUGACCCAAUCGCUGGAUUCAAGAAGAGAGAUACCAAAAUCAUGUUGGAAAAAAUCUUCGAUAAGUGUAGCAUGAGUGCUCACACUCUCCAAACACUCCAUACUAUCUUUGGUAUUGAAGUUAAGCUUGACACUCCCUUAUCUCUCUAAUGUUAUCUUCAGGCCAUAAUGCCCUAUCACAUAGUAAAAAAGGUGAGUACUCACAAUCCUAUGGCAUGCCAAUGAUAUCUAAUGGUUUCAAGUGUUCACAAUGCCAACAUAUGUUUUGUAUCACAUUCACUUUACACAAUUUAAAAGGGCUCACAAUACAGCAGAUCUCACGUAUAAUAGUUUUUAAUAACACAAUUCACAUUUCUGUAGGGCUCGUAUUAUAUAUAAGUUCGUAAUAACAUGGAUUCGCAUAACACUUAUGGCUCGCAUAUAUUUAGGGCUCAUAUGUAACAGUUGGGAUCCUAUAUAUUUAAACUCGCAUAAUACAGGGGCUCGCACGACAUAUUUUGGCUUGCAUGCAAUAUAGGGCUUGAUCACAUAUAUAGGUUCACAUGAUCUUAGGGCUCGCAUCACAUAUAUAAGCACGCAUGAUACAUGGGUUCACUCAACAUGUAUAUAUCAACUCGUGCAUCAAAGUAUAGGCUCGCAAGCAUUAAGGUGAUAGAGUUUGCAAACAAUUUAGAGCUCGCACACAUCAUAGGCUUGCAUACAUACAUGUUAGCAAGGUCUGCAGGUUACAAAUCGAGGCUCACAUAACUAUAGAGGCUUGCAUGGAAAUAUAAAAUUGUUCAGAUAUCAUUUUAAUCGGCUUCACACAUUAAAUCAAAUGGUUUGCAUGCAUUCCUUGGCUUUCAUUAGCAUGCGAACUCGUGUUUUUAACACAGUGUGCAAGGACACUCACUAGUUGUUUGUUGAUACUGUCGAACCUAUACCACCUUUUGCUUGACUUUUUCCUUGCUCAUGGAUGCACCUUCACAUUGAAAGGAUUUGCAUAAAACAAGAAAUAAUACAGAUUACUACUUUCACAGACAUAAUAACCUUCUUAACAAACAUAGUAGCGAAUCUUCCAAUCUUCCUUAAUAAUUCCUUAAAUGAAGCUAAACCAAAAUGCAUUAUAAAUUCAAUCAAUUUACCAUUAAACCAGCCCCCAAACACCCACUUAUAAGUUCAAACUGAUCAUUGAAAUUAUAAUUAUUUUAUGAAUCCAAACUAGUUAGAUUCCUUAAACUGUAUUGAUGCGAAUUGUAUGUACAAUCGUUCUUCACCUUUACGGAUGAUUUGGGGUGUUUGGGUCAACACCUAAUUCAAUAAUAUACUGGAAAACUAGUAGUUAACCAAUUCAUAACCUUUACCCAACAACUAUGUCGAAAUAACAAACUAGUUUAUAAUUAAUCGUACUUAUACCAAAUUGCGAGAUCUGAAUGGCUAAUUGAUCAAGAAUGUGUUUUGUAACAUCCCAAAAAUUAGGUUAGAAGAAAUGGGGCUUUGAAACCAAGAGUGGUCAUCCCCCGAUUAUGAGUUUAGAUCUUGGAAAAUUUGACAAGUAAACUGAUCUGGUUAAUGGUUAAGUGUCUUGGUUAUAUGUGUCAGGUUUUGGGUUCAAAUCUUGUUUUUGGAAAUUUUGUUACUUUGCUUAAACUCUUACCUUGAAUGUUUGGUUUAUAAGUUAAAUUUAGUCAAUUGAUGUCAAGAAUGAGUCUAUUGGUUCAAUGGUUAAGUUUUUGUAUAAUCAUUGGUCUUGUGUUCGAAUCUCAACAAAAGUAAUAGGGAAUGUUUUGUUUUUAAAUUUUUUUUAUAGGGUAGUUAGUUUCGAUUGGUUAUUUAAAGCCUUCCAGAAACCUCUAUUGCUUUUAUUUUUAUUUUGUUCUUUCUUUUUCUGCGACAUUUUCUAUCAUUUUGUUUCUGUUCUUUAGUUUCGUCAUAUUGGUUUUUUAUUUUCAAGCAACUUUUUUUUUGUUAUGUUACAUUACGCCGAUUGUGUACGGAGUCUAACUUCACCCUCUAGUUAAUUCGCUGGCCGGUAAGUUCGAUUUAAAGUUUUGGUGUUGAAAGUUUUUUAACGUAAAUUUAAUUUUGAAAUGUUAGUUUUUAGUGGUUUAGCUGCAAAUUAAUCGUUUGUUGGAAAAUUGCUUGUCGUUCAGGGACAUGAAUUUAUCCUUGUUACUCUUGCAUCAAGUUCGUAUCAAGUGGGUAUCAGAAAACCCUUCUUCUUUAAAUUUUAGUUGUCAAAUAAUGGCACUAUCGAUGCCACAUAGCUGUGUGGCAGGCCGUGUAACUUACUGUUCAAAAAAAUUAGAGGCAUACGAGCGUGGGCCCAAAUUGUGUGUGGUUAUGAAUUGUGUAGGGUUCACACAGGCCAGUGACACUAGCAUGUGUCAGGUCGUGUGGGACACACGGGCAAGUACACGAGCGUUUACCAGACUGUGUGGAGUCACAUGGGCCAGUUCUCUAGGCCGUGUAAAACCAUAUAGGUAUGUGAAGCAAUAUUUGGAAUUUUUCCCUUGGGUUACAAGAGUUGUUUGAAACAAACGCAUAAAUACUGUAGGGUCCGUACGAUUUGGAUUAGGCUAUAUAACUUGAUAUUUGAUGAUAUGAUGAUGAACAACUUGUGAUCUAUACGUAUAUUUGUUAUGUUUGAACCUAUGUGAGUAGGAUCUGUUAGAAUGUAACAUGUUAUUUUUUGUUGUGUGUGAACUAUCCAGGUACAAUUUGUAUUCUAUUAAGUUUUUUGGUACGCCUAUGUGUUACUCUAUUGAUGAAGAAUAUGUGACAUUUGAUUAUGUUAGAUUGAUUGUUACUGAUUAUAAUUUAUAACCCUCUACGUUACUUCAUUGAUGAGGAAUACACGUAUAUGAAAAUGUUAGAUUGAUUGUUACUGAUUCUAAUUUAUAGUCGUGUAUGUGACUUCAUGGCAAAUAUGAUAUGAUUUGUUGAGGUUUGAUAAGUCUAUUUUACAAAACAUGGACCCUCAUGUCUCCUGAUUCUGUUAUUGAAAGAUAUCAUGACUUACAUGCUCAUCACUCUAAUUCUUCAUAUGUAUGUCAUGACACGUUGCAUGGGAUUUGGGUUGAUGUGAAAGGAGGAAGUUUUUGGCAGUUAAUGAUCUGUAUUAUCUGGUGGUUUAUCCAUGAUUCUGUUCCGGCAACUUAGUUGUACUAUAGUGGCUUGACCAAAUGUAACCGAUCUGGCAGUCUUAACUGCAAAAUUUUGGUGGCACCAUUCACAAUUAUCUAUUGGUGUAAUUUGGCCGGAUGAGUUAUGGGGGAACUCUAUUUUGGUUAGUAGCAAAGUUUGGGUAUGAUGUUUUCUGAUAAUUUUGCAUUCUAAUCUAUUUGAAAAAUACAAUAUUUGCAUAACACAUUUUCUACUCUGCUCUAUUCUGUUCUACUCAGUUCUAUUCUGCUUGAUUUAUUAUGUUCUGCUUCAUUCUGUUGUGUUCGGUUCUGUUGGACUGUUGUUGUGAAAAUUUUCGUGAUACUCUAGAUCUAUUCCAUACUGGUUAUAAAUUUGUUAUUAAGUUCUUUGCGUUACUUUGAUUUAUAUAAUAAAAUCUGUUUAUUUGUAUCUAAGUUUCAUUAUACACGACGCUUGGUGUUUCACCCUUUGUCUUAUCUUAAUCUGUUCAAGUGCACAUCUUACUUACGACUAGAUGUACAGGAGCUCAGAUUGUUUUGCAUUGAUAUAACUAUGAUUUGAUCUUUUAGGUUGUAAUUUGUUUUUGGACUUGUCUUGCUUUUCUUUUGAUAAUCUCGUCAAUAUCUGUCAUUUUCUAACACAAAAAUAAAAAACCACCUAAGUCGACUAAAAUGAAUUUCUGGUUUUCAAAGUUGAAAUUUUGAAAAGAAACUAGUUUUCUGCACGUUGGCGUAACUCGUCCAAAUUUGGCUUAAAUUUGUAGGUCGAGUUUGGGGUGUUACAUCUUUCCCUAAUUAACAUGUGAUUAAAUAUUUAUUAGAAGGAUUCAAAAACUCAACUUAAUGCUGGAAAAAUAUGGGCAAGAACCAAGAAACAAAACAACCCCCUUUCUUACACAUAGCCGUACGAACCACCACCCAUGAUGGCCAAAAUUGGGGUUGAAUUUUAAAAUGGUUUGAGAUCUCAUUAAAAAUAUAGAAAAACACAUUUGUGUCGAAACCACUAUUUAUUUUUGAAAAAUGGGAAUCAACUUUAAAAAAUGAAAAUGGGAGUCACCACUGAUCUUUUAUUGAGGUGUGAUCAGAUCACCUUAAAAAUGAUUUUAGGUCUACGAAUUUUAAGAAAAUAGGUUUCGGAGUUGGUUACACACGAGGAAGGGUUAGCACCCUCAUAACGCCCAAAAUUGGUAUCGAAUAGACUGUUUAAUGUCUUAGUGUCGAAAAUUUGAAAACAUUUUAAAAUACGAUCCUUUUUUAAAGAAAAUUUGAAUAAGUUGACUUAGAAGAUAAGACCCUUUUAUUUCGAAGAAGUAAAAUAUCACAUCCAGUGAGUUAGGGUGCAACAUUUCUAAUCCUUAAAAUUAAGUUUGUCUUUUGAUUUUUAAAACUCAUGCAUUUAAAUUUGAAAAGGAUAUUCAGUUAUUUGGGUCAAAUGAAAAAUCAAAACCCAAUAAGUUAGGGUUCAACUUCCAAAAAUUGCUAAAUACCGAAUAUUGCCUUUAUUUUUUUUAGAAAUCCAUAACUCAAGAUAACCAAAUGACAUAUCCAGUAAGUUAGGAUCCAACAUUUUGAAAUCCCAAUAGAGAACUUUUUAUUUAGGAUUUGUAUGGUUUUAUUGCAAAAGAGAUACUUGGCUAUCUAAAUUCAUCGAAGAGAAUUGAAGCCCACUAAGUUAGGGCAAAAUCUUCUCGAAAAUCGUGAAUACCGAGUAUUUUGAAAAUUUACGAAAUAAGAUGAUUUUAAUGCUUUAAGGAAACAUAAUUUUUAAAACAAAUGUAGUGUGAUUGAACGACAAUGUACAAUGCAAAAGGAUAAUUAAAAAAAAACAUGUAUACAUUAGUGAAUAACUAUCAAUCAAUAAAUAUAAAUAAGUAAAAUGAUACAUACGAGAACAAUAAUCUUACAUUCCAGAUUAUGCAAAUACUAAAUUUUAAAACUAAUGAAUUAUAAAUUAAUUUUGAAAGAAAUGCCAAGCAAACUAACACAAAUAAAAUAUAACAAGUUUUAAAAAUAAAAAGAAAUAAAAAAAGUACACAGAAAGAAAUUUAAAAUCAUCAGUACAAACAAUAAGUUAUAUGAAUAAUAUUUCAAAAUAAACAAUAUAUAUAUGAAUUUGAAAUAGUUCAAAAAUAAAGGUAAAAAAAUACUAUGUGAAAAGAAAUAAUAUCUAAAUGAAUUUUAAACAAAUAUUGUAUACAAAGAAAAUCAAAAUAAGUAAUACACAAAAUAAUACACGUAUAUCAAUCUAAAUGAAUAAUACAUAUUAAAAAAUCUUUAAAUCAUAGAAAUAUAAAUAAGUGAAUUUUUUAAAAAAUUUAAUUAUACUGCAAAAUAAAACCAUUAAAGAAUGUGUACAAUUCUAUUGAAUUUAUAUAAAAUAAUAUAUGACAAAUUAUAAUAAUAAUACAUAAUAAAUCUGAAAUAACAAUAUACAAUAAACUUAGAUAAUAUUAAUGAUAAAUUUAAGAUAAUAAUAAGUUUUAACAUUCAAAUAAUAUUAGAUUUAAAAUUAAAAAUAAAAAAUAGCAUAAUAAAAAAUACUUAAAUAAGUAAAAAGCAAGCAAAUUAAAAUAAAGUAAUGAGGAUUAAAUUGAAUUUAAAACAAAAUUUAAAAUAAAAAAAUGAGAAUAAAACAAAACUGAGAGCCAAAAAAAGACGCGCGGAUAACAUGGGGACCAAAUGGGAAAUAUUCCCUUCCUUCAAAACGCAGCGUUUUGACACGGACCAAAUUGGAAUGAAACAUAGAAUGCGUGGCCAAAUCUAAAUAAAAUAAAAGGAUAAAUUUGAAAGAGUUAUAAAAAGAACGGGGACCAUUUGCGCAAAUUUCUCCUACGCUAUAAAACGCGCGGAUACUUCUCCGGGUAGGGUCACCGGGCGCGUAUAGGCCAAUAUAGUGUCGUUUUGAAGCCACUGAAGCAGGCUGAAAAUGACAUCAUCACAAAAUUAGUAUAAGAUUAAAAUUAAAGCAAACAUUAAGCCAUUUAACCACAGAAACCCUAGCCCCUUUCGCCGUUCUGAACUUUGCUAAUUCUUUUAGCCUUGAAACCCUUGCCAAACUCUGAUCACGGCGAAGCAAACAAGGAUUUCGCGGCGGUUUUAUUAAGGUAACUUAUUCUUUUGUUAAUCGCCUCUUUUUUAUAUCUAGUAAUAAACAAAAUAAGGAUUCAAGAGCAGAGAAGAGAACUAUCAAGAGAAAAAGAAAAAAAUGAAAACUCAAAUCACCUUUCGAGAUUUCGUAUUUUUUGCCUAUUAGAUUUCUUUUUCUGAAUCAGUAUAUGUAAUCCUUUUACAAAUGAAUCAAUCGGCUUUAUAUAGCCGAAUAAAACCAAAAAAUUACAAAAUUAUUAUUUUUGUUAUUUAUCACUGCUGCUAUUCUCGUUUUUUCUUUUAUGUUAUUGCCUUCCUUCGUUUGCUUGUUUGUUGCGUCUAUUGUAGGUACCAAACCAGCUGGAGCACACGCAUGGAGGCACAAUGGAUGGGGGGCACACGCGUGUGGGGUUGGAGCUGCUGCGGCGUUGGGGCAACAGGCUAGGGUUUUUGGAAACUGCUUAGGUUUAUCUAGGUUUGGGCUUGUUGGGCCAAAUGGGGUUAGUUUUGGGUACUUUAAGUUAAAAUGAUUUGGGCUAUGUAUUUGGGUAUGGGUUUUAGGCUAAUACUGGACUACUAUUAUUUUUAUUUUAUUUUGGUUUAUUAUUGAUUGGGCCUAGGUUUUAUUAGAUUUGUAAUUGUAUUUGGUUUUUUAGUAUUUGGUUUGGGCUAGGCAAAAUUUGGUAUUACAAUUUGAAUUCAUUUAAAAUCCCCCAAAUUCCAGAUCUAAAAUUUUUUCUUUUUAAUUGACAAGAUUAAUUAAGAAAUUGAAGAGAAAAGAGAUCUUACCCAAGCCAGUUGAGAGAAAUGACGAUGACACUUUCUUUGCAAUGCUCAAGAUCGAUCUUAGGGUUCAAGAUUUUAGAUUUGGGGAUGAUUUAAAUGAGGAUAAAUGAUAGCAAUAGAGUAAAGGAGAUGGUGCACAAUCUUGAUGCAAAAAGAAGAAGAAAGAGAUGGUAAAUGGGAGGUGUAAGCAAUGACAACAAUGGGAGAAAGAAAGAAAAUAAGAGAAAAGUGGGGAGGAAGAUGCUGAACAGAUAGGGUAGGGAAAAAUUGAAUUUUAGGCUAAAAAUAUACUUAGGGUUCAAGGUUAUGGACAGCACACACAUUUAAAAAACAAAGGAUUUUGCAAAAUUUACUAUUUUGCAAGGGAAAGGAUUCGAAAUUGGGACCUCAUUUAAUUUUCAUGUUUUCUCAUAUUUCUUUUAACCAUUAGGAUUUUUCCUCAUUCUUAAAAUCAUUUUGAAAUAUUUAUUUUAAAAAUAAGGCAUGUCACACUAGGGUUUAAGGCAAAAUUAGCAAAAUAAUAAAAAAAAUGAGAGAGAAGGGGGUUUCAAGGAACGCUUCACUAAAACUUAUCCAACAAACCAACACCUCAUUAUUUUCCUAAAUAUGCAUAGGUAAUCAUCAAAAUUAAGGCAUCACCACUCUUUCUCGAUUCACAAACCCGAUUCUACUAACCCUUGAUUUUUGGGAUGUUAUAAGGUGAGUUCGUAGUGUAACAAUAUAUAUGUGUGUGUUUUGGGGAUACGAUUGGCAUGCCAAUAGGGUUAGUUACACUUCAAUGCCUCUCUUUACAAUUUGGUGCCACUGUAUUUGCACUACAGUGCCUCUGUUAGUAUUUCGAUGUUUAGGGGAAACCCGAGUAUCCAAGUCAUUUUAAUAUAGUUCAAAAGGCCAUGAAAUUUUAUGUUUAAAUGUUAAAUUACUCUUGAGUUUGAUUUAUGUAUAAAAUGAUAUAUUUGUGUAUAUACGUAUAUAAGCAUGGAUUGCUUUGGUUUGAGCCAUUGUUUAUAUUGAAUCAUAUGAGACAAAUGUUUUGAUUAGUAUAGUUUGAGAAUAAAUAUUAAUGCUUUGGUGUAAUUAUAUGAUUCAUAUGUCUAUAAACAUGAAUCUAAUUAUGUUUAUGGUGUGUUUAGAGAAUUAAAUGGUUAUAUGAUUAUUUUCCAGGUAUUCGAGGUUGUUUAAUUUGGUUUAAUGGGUAAAUAAAGCUUUAAAGGGUAUGUGAUUACAUGAAAUGAACUAUCAUAUUUGAGUAAUGAUAUGGAUUAUGAUGAAAUGUUUAAUUGAAAAGAAAAUAUGGUUUAGUAUAUAUGUAUGAGUGGUGAAUUAUGAAAGUGAAAUGUAGAUAUGUUUUAUACCAUGUUUUGAUUUGAAUUAUAUAUGAUAUGUUACACCAACUAACCUUGUGAGGUGGUGUGUAUAGGAAAGGAAAGUUGGCUUAAAACAUAAUGAAAUUAUGCUUGGUUUUUUAACUUAAAAUAUUCAAUAAGUUAAGUUUCAUUUAUAUGAACUUACUAAACAUUAAUUGCUUACAUAGUUAUUUUUCUUUAUUUUGUAGUUCAUCAGAAGCUCGGCCGGUUGGAAUCAUGUCAGAGCACGAUCACACUAUCCAUUCAACAUUUUGAUAGUUUUUGGUUAUUUUGGUAAAUGGUUAUAAAUGACAUGAAAUAGGGUUUAAAGGUCAUUCCAGUGAUUUGACUUGUUUUGAGUUGUGUCAAGCUUAUUGUGAUUAAUGUUGUUAGUUGCUGGCAUGUAAAUAAUGGUGUAAAUAUGUGUGGUCGGACCCUUAUGCAUGCUUUAUUGAUUAAAGAUAUCAUAUGUUAAAAUGGCAUGUUUUUGGAAUGGUUAUUUGGCAUGAUUGGUAUAGGUUUAAGUUAUGAUCUUGAGAUGUUGAAUUGAAUUAAGUUUGAUAUGUAUAUUGUGAUGCCUUCAUUGACAUAUUGGUUAGAUAUUAAGGGAUGGUUGAUUUGGUAUGUUUUUGAAAUGGUUGUUGGUAUGUUUGAUCUAAGUUGAUUAAAUGAACUUGUAAUGUUGAAUGGUAUAAUAUUUGUUGGUACAUUCAUUAGUCUUAUAGGUUGAUGGAAUUGGUAUGUUUUAAAUGUGUUUUAAAUGUGUUUUGAUUAUUUGGAUGUUUGUGGAAAUGGUGUCUCUUGGUGUACAAGAUUUGAAAUUGAAACGGCUUGAUUUAGAAUCAACUUAUGCUGCACACUGCCUGGGACAUGGAUUGUCACAUGGCUGUGUCAUAAUUGUUUUAGGUACGGGUUUCACACAAUCUAAGACUCGGCUCACGACACAGUUGUGUAUCACAAGUCAGUAUGUAACACAGUUUUGCACAUGGCCUGCGACACGAUCUUGUGUCUAGACUUCGAAUGUCCACAUGGUCUGGGCUAUGUCACAUGGCUUGGCCACAUGGUCGUGUGACUUUUGUUUUCAAGUUUUCCAAAAUUUUCUAUUUUAUUUCAAAUUGAUCCUAGAAUAUUCUCAAACUAUUUUUAAGGCCCCGUAGGUUCGGAUUAAGGCCCCGUAAGUGUAUGUUUGCUAUAAUUAAGUUGUGCUACUGAAUGUUACUAAUUCAAUCACAUGAAUAUUUUGUUGUAAGUUAAAUGUUUUAAUUUUUACUAUAAUGCUCUGUAACCUUAAUCUUGCGAUGAAAACAGGUUUGGCGUGUUACAAUUUUGGAUUGUAAAUUUGUUUUGGGGCUUUGUUCUUUGGUUCUUGCGAUGUUGGUUAGAUUUUGGUGUUUUAACAUUAAACUGCAAAAUUGUAUAACUUAAUAAACUAAAAAUUAGGUUUUCAAAAUUAAAACUCUGGAAAUUUUUCUUGCAAAGUUUAAGUAAUCACUUAAGUGUUUUUCCAUAAAUAAUUAAAUGGUUUUUAACAAAUGUUUUCCUUAGUUUUGGAAAUGAUCUGCCAAUAUUAGUACUUUUAAAACACAUGAUUUCAAAUUCAAAUUCUCAGUUUUAAAUAAGGGUUUUCACACUUCAGUUUUUUUUAAACAUUUGUGAGAGGUUUUUGCCAAAUUUUAUGUUUUCAGAAUGUGUAACUAAGUUGAUUUUUAAUUAGUUUUUCAAACGAGUCGAGUAAUUCCUCAAAAAUCCAGUCAUAGCGUCUAGGCCGGGUUUGGGAUGUUAUACUGACGUUACUAAAGUUAAUCUUCAUCUAUUUAGUCUAGAUCUAAACAUUAAUAUUCUCUUCCAAGAAAAAUCAAGACUAUCAAUUUGUUAAAACUUGGUAGGCAGACAAUCAUAUUAAAUAUGCAUAAAACUCAAUAAGUAAUUUGCGAAGAUUGAAACAAUCAAAGAAAAAAUUAAUUAAUUAACUAAGAAAUAGGAUACAUUGCUGUUUCAAGGAAACAGGGUUUAGUUCACAUUGAGUUGAGAAAACCAAAAGGGAGAUUCAAAAUGAACUUGUGAUAAGGGGAAUAAUGUCAAUGGAUCAUAUUCAAGUUGUUCAGCUCGAGAAAGAAAGAUUCAGAUUUAACUUGAAAAGAGUAAACCAAAAAGAUUUAGAAAAACAAAGAAAAUAACUAAAAUGAUAAAUUUAAGAAUAAAUAAUCAAUAUUAAAAAUAAUAAAGAAAUUAUAGAAUAAAUAGUGGAAGAUGGAAUGAAUAAACGAUGGAUAUGACAUAUAGAUGGAUAAGUGUCUUAUAAUUCAUGAAAAGAGUUAUAUUUCAUGCCUUUAGACCUAACUAAUUGCUUGUACUUACGUACAUUUUGUUGCAUUUUAAGACAUAUUAGUUAGCAUUUCUAAUAUUGCAUUAGGACUUAGAUUGUGCUGGAAUUAGCUGUUUUUAAUCGCUCGUGGUGGAGUUUUUUUUGUGUUUUGGUAUAGAAGGAACAUGUUUUAGAUCGAGGAAAUAAAUGAGUGAAGUUUUGUCAAGGCAAAACUGCAGAUAGUUUGCCAGCACGGAUGCCGUGACAAUGCCGGGAAGACCAAGUCAACAUUUUUUUGUGCAAUAGUCUCAGUUGAAAUUAAAACUUGUACCAGAUAAAUCUCCCUAAAAGAGGAAAAGAUAAUCACAAGACCCUAGCCUAAUCUAUCUAUAAAAGCCAAUAAAGGGGAUUCUCACAAAUGGCAGAAAAAAGUGGGAAGGAUCCUUAGGUGUGAAUAAGGGUUUAGCUGCGCAAAGGAAAGGAAGUCGAAGGCAGUCCUUUUUAGCCAUCACAGGACAUUGUGUUGCCGAAGUGUGGACUAGGCAAGUGAAAGUUGUUUACCAAAGUUCUUUUGUUAUUUCCAUCAGCGUUCCUUCAAAAUAUUGAAGUAGUUGAACACAAUGUUGGAUAAUAUUUUGCUUUGGAAUUUUAUUUCUCAUCCCACGAGCUAAAUCUCGUAGGGUUGGGAUUACUUUUGAUGAAACCUUAAACUAUUUUUAUGAAUGCAGUAUAUAUCUAAUUUACUUUACUGUUUCAUUUGAUUGUUCUUAUUUCUUAAUUAAAAUGCAAAUGAUCUCUAAACAUAGAAGACUGUUCACAUACUUAUAAAUUGAUUCUAAUUCUGAAAGGGUUGGAUUGGUUGGAUUAAAAUUAAAUGAAAUGAGCAAGUAUUCGAUGGACACUUGUAGUAGACUCUAGACAUAGAGUGGCGAUCAUACAGAAGGAACCCAUGCAAGGUAUCUAAAAAGUCUUUAGACACAAGCAAGGUAACUUGAGGGUUUGCUCUCACGAGAGGCAAGCCAUUUUAGUACUCUUCUGUGCUUUAAAGUAGAUACGAUUUUGCCAAGGCAUUAUUGACAGUAAGAGUCGAUUUUGGGUAAUCAACCUUCCAAAUCCACAUCGUAUAUCCUUUAUUCCUUACCAUAAUAUAUUUGCCACAUCAUUAUUAGUUAUUUAUUUGUUCAUUUACAUAAUAUUCCCGUAGUAAUUCUCAUAAUUGUCAUUACAUUUCUACUCUCGGUUUGCCACAACAUUACCAGUUAUUUAUUAAUUCCACGUAUUGCUUACAUCAUUACUCUACUAAUUGUGACUAUAUAUUUAUCAUUGAGUCUGCCAUAGCAUUAAUCAUAUUUUAUUAUAAUAACUUGAUCAAUUUUGUGCCUCAAUUCGAUCCCCAUGGGAAUGAUUCUCACUCAUCAGUUUAUUACUUGAUUCAACUGUAUACAUGCACAAAUCACAUAUCAUUUCACACACGACAGUGUUCAAUUGAACCCUUUGAGUUAUAAACUCGAACAAACUCAAUUAAUGGAUUUAAUCAACCCACCAAGAAAGAAUCAUUGGAAAAUUGAAGGAUGGAGAAUGAAUUCCCAUGACUCCUUAAAAAAAUUGAGAAGAAAACUACUUCUAAAAAUCACAAGAAACAAAUCUUGCACAAAGAAACUAACUCUCAGAGUUGGAAAUUUUAGUAAUAAACAAAAACAAUUGCGUCUCUAAUGAACAUGAAAGGGCCUUUACAUAGGCUAGAUAAGUACAUCCAAAUAAAAUUGUCAAGUAUCUAGAAACUUUAAUUAAUGUAAGCAAGAAGUAAUUUUAAACUAAAAUAGUCAUAAUUUUCGUAAUAAUCUCGUCCAAAAAUUUUGCUCACAUAGUCAUCAUUAAAAUAGUCAUAAUUUGAUCUUCUAAACUCAAAAUCGAGUGAAUAAAAGUGCGUUUCGAAGUUAAGUGAUAGAUCUUAGAACUCUAUGAGGACAUAUCAAUUGAAAAAUGCCUGGAUUCCAUCCAAAAAUUCACCGCAAGUUAACUAAUUUUUCAAACUUGAAAAUUGGUAGCUUCGGUGAAUGGAAUUUAAUAAAGUUCACCCCAUCUAUUCAUGUAUCAACUUGCAUUGUAAAAAGUAAAAAGAAAUAAUCUAUAGAGAAAAUAGUUGAAGAAUUUAUGACAAUUUAUUCAGAUCUCGUUUUCUUCUAGUCUUUACAAGCUUGAAGUUUCCCUUGGUGUGAGAGAGUUGUUCCUUACCCUCUAAGUGAUUUUUUUUCUUUUUCUUUCUCUUCGAUCUCGUCACCUAAGGGUGUUCAAACGAUUGAUUCAGUUAAUACCCGAACAAAACUAUCAUUAACUAAAAUUUUGAAACCCUUAAUCAUUAAUCAAACCAAAAUUUAUUUGAAACCUAUUAACCAGCCAGAUUGAUUUCGAUUAAUUUGAGCGGUUAACCAGAAUUUAUACACUGUUUGAUUUUGUUCAAACAAUUUUAAAACAAAGAAUAAUCCACAACAAUUUUUUCCGUAUUUUUUAUUCAAAAAAAUUAAAAGAAUUAAAAAAAAUAACAUAAUAACAACACUAAAUUAAAAACGUAAUAGCAUUCAUUACAUUACAAAGCAUAUAUAUAUAUUUACUUUUUCUUGAAUUUUUAGUUUAAUUUUAGUUUUUAUUCAAAUAUUUUUAGUUUUCAUAAUUUUGUUAAGCUUAUUAUAAGAGAACUUAUAAAUCCAUUAGUUUUUAUAUAUUGGGUUUGUAUAAUGUAUUUGACCUGUCUCUAAUAUAUUGGGCCUAUAAUAUAUUUUUAUUGAUUUCGGUUAAUCAAUUAAUUCGGUUAAUUAGUCGAUUUCAAACUAAACUAAUUGGUAAACAAAAUCUUCAAAAACCUUUAACCAACUCCCAACCAAAUUAGAUUCGUUGAUCAACUGCUUAAUCAAAUUAAUUAGGUUUGAUAAAUUAAUUCGUUAAAACCGAAAAAUUGACAUCCCUAUCACCACCUUUGUUUUUAGGGAUUUUAAUCAUGUUACUCCACUUGAUGCAGAAGUUGAGGUGGAACGAAUUGCUUGCUACCAAAAUUUAUGAAUUAUAGACCAUGCUCCACCCGGUGAAUCAAAUUCAGUGGAGUGGAAGACUUUUUCUUCACUACUUUGUGCUCUAUGCUCCAAGUCUUCUAUUCUUCUUCCGAGACCAACAAUGGGAAAAUUAAAAAUAAGAAACAAGUCUGAACUAACUUUGACAAUUAGAAAUUUUCAACAAAAUUGAAAUAAAAUAUAAUUAAUUAAUAAAAACUAUAAAAUUCAACAAAAACGAACCUAAAUACUAAAUUUACCUCCUAAAAUGCUAUGGAAACUAUAUUAAAAUAACUCUAAAUAUGAUAGUUAUCAAAAGCGACCUGAAGAAGCCAAUAUUCGAGUAGAUGAUUUCAACUAUUGCAAAUACCAUCAGUCGAUUAGCCAUCCUCUUGAGAAGAUUAUAGAGUUGAACGAAAAAAAUCAUACAACUCCAUGAAGAAGAAAAAAUCAUGUUUGAAAAAGAAGUGGCAUAAUCAAACUUGACAUCAAUGCUUUGGUUUCUCAAUACAAUAUUAUGGACAGAUUCAUCAAAUUUGGCUCUUUCAAUCCUAUUACACUAGCUCUAAGUAGAAGUAAGAUGGUGAAUUUCGAAAGGAUUGGGGGCAAUCAUCUAUUCUUGGAAUACCAGAAUGGUCAUUAUUGGACUCUAGCCACAUGUCAAAGAAGCCAAUGAAAAGCAUCUCUCCUAGGUAUAAGCUUAUAUUGUCACAUUACUCCUAAGCACGAGCAUAAAUUAGUCAUCCAAAAUGAUGAUGCUUCUAAGCAUGAGCUUAAAUUGUUCAUCUAAUGCUCCUAAGAAGGAGCCUAAACUAUUCAACCCAAAUGGUCAUGCUUUAAGAAAAAUCUUAAACUAUUUUUAAGGCCUUAUAGUUCGGAUUAAGGCCCGUAAGUGUAUGUUUGUUAUAAUUAAGUUGUGUUAUUGAAUGUUAUUAAUUCAAUCACAUGAAUAUUUUGUUGUAAGUUAAAUGUUUUAAUUUGUACUAUAAUGCUCCAUAACCCUAAUCUGGCAAUGGAAACAGGUUUGGCGUGUUACAAUUUUGGGUUCUUGCGAUGUUGGUUGGAUUUUCGUGUUUUAACAUUAAACUGCAAAAUUGUAUGAUUUAACAAACUAAAAUUAGGUUUUCAAAGUUAAAACUCUGGAAAUUUUUGUUGCAAAGUAUAAGUAAUCACUUAAGUGUUUUUCCAUAUAUAAUUAAAUGGUUUUUAACAAAUGUUUUCCUUAGUUUUGGAAAUGAUCUGCCACCAUUAGUACUUUUAAAACACAUGAUUUCAAAUUCAAAUUCUUUGUUUUAAAUAAGGGUUUUCACACUUCGUUUUUUUUUAACAUUUGUGAGAGGUUUUCGCCAAAUUUUAUGUUUUCAGAACGUGUAACUAAGUUGAUUUUUAAUUCGUUUUUCAAAUGAGUCGAUGUAAUUCCUCAAAAAUCCAGUCAUAGCAUCUAGGCCGGGUUUGGAUGUUAUACUGAUAUUACUAAAGUUAAUCUUCAUCUAUUUAGUCUAGAUCUAAACAUUAAUAUUCUCUUCCAAGAAAAAUCAAGAUGAUCAAAUUGUUAAAACUUGGUAGGCAGACAAUCAUAUUAAAUAUGCAUAAAACUUAAUAAAUAAUUAGCGAAGAUUGAAACAAUCAAAGAAAAAAUAAAUUAAUUAACUAAGAAAUAGGAUCCAUUAUUGUUUCAAGAAAAUAGAGUUUAGUUCACAUUGAGUUGAGAAAACCAAAAGGGAGAUUCAAAAAAAACUUGUGAUAAGGGGAAUAAUGUCAAUAGAUCAUAUUCAAGUUGUUCGGCUCGAGAAAGAAAGAUUCAGAUCUAACUUGAAAAGAAGAAACUAAAAAUAUUUAGAAAAACAAGAAAAAACAAAGAAAAUAACUAAAAUGAUAAAUUUAAGAAUAAAUAAUCAAUAUUAAAAAUAAUAAAGAAAUAAAGAAAUUAUAGAAUAAAUAGUGGAAGAUGGAAUGAAUAAAUGAUGGAUAUGACAUAUAGAUGGAUAAGUGUCUUAUAAUUCAUGAAAAGAGUUAUAUUUCAUGCCUUUAGAUCUAACUAACUGCUUGUACUUAAGUACAUUUUGUUGCAUUUUAAGACAUUUUAGUUAGUGUUUCUAAUAUUGCAUUAGGACUUAGAUUGUGUUGGAAUUAGGUGUUUUUAAUCGCUCGUGGUGGAGUUUUUCUGUGUGUUGGCAUGGCAAGAACAUAUUUUAGAAUGAGGAAAUAAAUGAGUGAAGUUUUGUUAGGGAAAAAGUGCAGACAAUUUGCCAACACGGAUGCCGUGACAAUGCUGGGAAGACCAAGUAACAUUUUUUUGCGCAAUAGUCUCAGUUGAAAUUAAAACUUGUACCAGAUAAAUCUCCCUAAAAGAGGAGAAGAUAAUCACAAGAUGUCAGCUGACCCUAGCCUAAUCUAUCUAUAAAAGCCAAUAAAGGGGAUCUCACAAUUGGCAGAAAAAAGUGGGAGAGAUCCUUAGGUGUGAAUAAGGUUUUAGCUGCGCAAAGGAAAGGAAGUCAAAGGCAGUCCUUUUUAGCCAUCAUAGGACGUUGUGCUGCCGAAGUGUGGACUAGCCAAGUGAAAGUUGUUUCCGAAAGUUCUUUUUUUAUUUCCAUCAGCGUUCCUUCAAAAUAUUGAAGUAGUUGAACACAAUGUCGGAUAAUAUUUUUCUUUGGAAUUUUAUUUCUCAGCCCAUGAGCUAAAUCUCGUAGGGUUAAGGUUACUUUUGAUGAAACCUUAAAUAUUUUUAUGGAUGCAGCAUAUAUCCAAUUUACUAAACUGUAUCAUUUGAUUGUUCUUAUUUCUUAAGUAAAAUGCAAAUGAUCUCUAAACAUAGAAGACUGUUCGCAUACUUAUAAACUGAUUCUAAUUCUAAAACGGUUAGAUUGGUUGGAUUAAAAUUAAAUGAAAUGAGCAAGUAUUCGAUGGACACUUGUAGUAGACUCUAUACAUAGAGUGACGAUCAUACAGAAGGAACCCAUGCAAGGUAUCUAAAAAGUCUUUAGACACAGGCAAGGUAACUUGAGGUUUUGCUCUCACGAGAGGCAGGCCAUUUUAGUACUCUUCUGUGCUUUAAAGUAGAUAAGAUUUUGCCAAGGAAUUAUUGAGAGUAAGGGUCGAUUUUGGAUAAUCAACCUUCCAAAUCCACAUCGUAUAUCCUUUAUUCCUUACCAUAGAAUAUUUGCCACAUCAUUAUUAGUUAUUUAUUUGUUCAUUUACAUAAUAUUCCCGUAGUAAUUCUCAUAAUUGUCAUUACAUUUCUACUCUUGGUUUGCCACAACAUUACUAGUUAUUUAUUAAUUCCACGUAUUGCUUACAUCAUUACUCUACUAAUUGCGACUGUAUAUUUAUCAUUGAGUUUGCCAUAGCAUUAAUCGUAUUUUAUUAUAAUAUCUUAACUAAUUUUGUGCCUCAAUCUGAUCCCCAUGGGAACGAUACUCACUCAUCACUUUAUUACUAGAUUCAACUGUAUACUUGCACAAAUCGUAUAUCAUUUCACACACGACAAUGUUCAAUUGAACCUUUUGAGUUAUAAACUCGAACAAACUCAAUUAUUAGCUUUAAUCAACCCACCAAGAAAGAAUCAUUGGCAAAUUGAAGGAUGAAGAAUGAAUUCCCAUGAAUCCUUAAAGAAAUUGAGAAGAAAACUACUUCUAAAAAUCACAAGAAACAAAUCUUGCACAAAGAAACUAACUCUCAGAGUUGGAAAUUUUAGUAAUAAACAAAAACAAUUGCGUCUCUGAUGAACAUGAAAGGGCCUUUACAUAGGCUAGAUAAGUCCAUCCAAAUAAAAUUGUCAAGUAUCUAGAAACUUUAAUUAAUGUAAGCAAGAAGUAAUUUUAAACUAAAAUAGUCAAAAUUUUUGUAAUGAUCUCGUCCAAAAAUUCUGCUCACAUAGUCAUCAUGAAAAUAGUCAUAAUUUGAUCUCUUGAACUCAAAAUCGAGUGAAUAAAAGUGCGUUUCAAAGUUAAGUGAUAGAUCUUAGAACUCUAUGAGACAUAUCAAUUGAAAAAUGUCUGGAUUCCAUCCAAAAAUUCACUGGAAGUUAACUAAUUUUUCAAACUUGAAAAUUGGUAGCUUCAGUGAAUGGAAUUUAAUAAAGUUCACCCCAUCUAUUCAUGUAUCAACUUGCAUUGUAAAAAGUAAAAAGAAAUAAUCUAUAGAGAAAAUAGUUGAAGAAUUUAUGACAAUUUAUUCAGAUCUCUUUUUCUUCUAGUAAUAUAUUGGGCCUAUAAUAUAUUUUUAUUGAUUUCGGUUAAUAAAUUAAUUCGGUUAAUUAGUCGAUUUCAAACUAAACUAAUUGUUAAACAAAAUCUUCAAAAACCUUUAACAAACUCCCAACCAAAUUAGAUUCGUUGAUCGACUGCUUAAUCAAAUUAAUUAGGUUUGAUAACUUAAUUCGUUAAAACCGAAAAAUGCACAUCCCUAUCAUCACCUUUGUUUUUAGGGAUUUUAAUCAUGUUGCUCCACCUGAUGCAGAAGUUGAGGUGGAACGAACUACUUGCUACCAAAAUUUAUGAAUUAUAGAGCUUGCUCCACCGCAGUGAAUCAAAUUCGGUGGAGUGGGAGACUUUUCUUCACUACUUUAUGCUCUAUGCUCCAAGUCUUCUAUUCUUCUUCCGAGACCUACAAUGGAAAAAUAAAAAAAUAAGAAACAAGUCUGAACUUACUUUGAAAAUUAGAAAUUUUCUACAAAAUUGAAAUAAAAUAUAAUUAAUCAAUAAAAACUAUAAAAUGCAAUAAAAACGAACCUAAAUACUAAAAUUACCUCCUAAAAUGCUAUGGAAACUAUACUAAAAUAACUCUAAAUAUGAUAGUUAUCAGAAGCGACCUGAAGAAGCCAAUCGAGUAGAUGAUUUCAACUAUUGCAAUAAUAUUGGUCGAUUAGCCAUCCUCUUGAGAAGAUCAUAGAGUUGAAAGAAAAAAAUCAUACAACUCCAUGAAGAAGAAAAAAUCAUGUUUGAAAAAGAAGUGGCAUUAUCAAACUUGACAUCAAUGCUUUGGUUUCUCAAUACAAUAUUAUGGACAGAUUCAUCAAAUUUGGCUCUUUCAAUCCUAUUACACUAGCUCUAAGUAGAAGUAAGAUGGUGAAUUUCAAAAGGAUUGGGGGCAAUCAUCUAUUUUUGGAAUAUCAGAAUGGUCAUGAUUGGACUCUAGCCACAUGUCUUCGGAACAUCAGAAUGGUCAUGAUUGGACUCUAGCCACAUGUCAAAGAAGCCAAUGAGAAGCAUCUCUCCUAGGUAUAAGCUUAUAUUGCCACAUUACUCCUAAGCACAAGCAUAAAUUGUUCAUCCAAAAUGAUGAUGCUUCUAAGCAUGAGCUUAAACUGUUCAUCUAAUGCUCCUAAGAAGGAGCCUAAACUAUUCAACCCAAAUGGUCAUGCUUUAAGCAAAUAUUAAACUAUUCUUAAAAAAUAAAUGAUGAUCCAAUGAAGCACAAGCUUAAUCUAUUCAUACGAAACAAAUGAUGACCUCCUAAGCAUGAAUUUAAAUUGUUCACACAUAAUAAAUGAUGAUACUCCUAAGCGCGAGCUUAAAUUGCAGUCCAAAAAAUAUUGAACUACGUUAUAACUUGAUCUUUUAAAAUUGAAGGUAAGUAGAUAGCCUGGUUUCAUUGCCAAGUUCAGUCUAUAUGAUAAAAAAAAUUUGAAGGUGAUCUUUGAAACAAAUUCAUCAAAGUAGGAAGCAAAUAAAAUUUCAAGACUUGUCCCCUUUCUACGCCCAACAAAAUUCAGAAUCCAUCAUUUGUUAUUACUGUAAUAAUAUCUCUAACUAAAUUAAUGAAAAGAUAAAUCAAGAAAUUAAAUCCUUUUAGAACUCUCUUAUAAAGAAACCAUAUUAAGGAUUACUUUAGAUCUAAUUAAUUAAAUUAAUAAGAUAUGAAUAAUAAUAAUAGAGUUUAAAUUCUUAUAGAACACUCAAAUGAAAAUGUUAAAUUCUACAAGAACUCUUAUAUGAAAGUGAUUGACACUAAAAAAAUGGGUCACCUCCAAGUUAUUCUACACAUUCACAAGUUCAAG